rnacentral:lncRNA from 1 species
ACCAUCAUUUCCUUACACGAUAACAUGUAUAUCAAAACAAAUCCUACAUAUAUUAAUGGCAGCAAAGAAACAAGAAUUUCACAUAAGCAUGUAACCAAUGAAACUACAUAAUAAGCAAUCAUAAAGGCUCCCCAAUUUUUCGCCUACUUUUGCCGAUCACCUGAAACAAGCUCCUGAGUUCAACCAAUUUCCUGCAACACCAAUUUCUCUCUCUCUCUCNNNNNNNNNNNNNNNNNNNNCUCUCUCUCUCUCUCUCUCUCUCUCUCUCUCUCUCUCUCUCUCUCUCUCUCUCUCUCUCUCUCUCUCUCUCUCUCUCUCUCUCUCAGUGAACUCAAGGAAACCAUAUGGAAAACUCUAAAUACUAACCUCUAUUUAUAGAGUCUGGAAAGGAGGGAAGAACAUGGAGUCCAAAAAAGACUAAAGGAAGUCAAAUUGAGCACUUCAACCCAAUUCUUAUCCAUCUGGAAACUUAGUCCCCAAGAAUUUUGGCACAUCUUGCUUAUCCAUGGCGGUUGCCAUUGUUUAGGUUUUUCUAGGACGGUUUCUAGGUUUAAGGAGGCAAGGUUUUGGAUUGGGAAACAUCUGGUCAGGAGAAAGAAGAAGUCGGUGAAGAAGAGAGGACAAAACUUCGAGUGUAGAGGUCGGAAGGAAGAAGAAGGCAGAAGAGAAGAAGCAGAAGGCAGUGAAGGAGACGAAAAAGAAGAGGACGACGUCGUUCUGCCAUUCUGAACGACAAACACUUCUCUUUUCCUAGCUAUCAAGUUUGGGCUUGGGUUUUGUAUUUGGGUAUUGGGCUUGGAUAAAAACCCUACUCAUUAAAUCCAAUAAAAAUAAAAUAAAAAAUAAAGAAAACUAUAUAACUAUAUUAAUUUUCAGCAUAUAUAACACUAUAUAUAUAGACACACACACACACUUAUACAAUCAUACCUAUAUAUAGAUAUAUGUAAUAUAUAAACAAAUUUGUAAAUAGGUAUAUACAUAAUAAAAUUCCAGGUUGUCACAUAGAUGCAAUGUCAACUAUGGAGGCAUACAAGCAGAGAUAUAUACCAGAUUAUUGGCAUUCCAAAUGCAUCAAAUGUUGGAUGAGCAUCAAAUGUUCUCCAAUAUAAACUGUCUUGUCAUUCUUCAAUGGUUGAAAGGUGGUGUUGACUCCAUUGAGAUGUCUGGAAUCAGCUACAAAAGGUUGUUCAUUAGUAAACAUAAAAGAGGGUGGGAGAACAUAACUGCUUUUGUUAUUGUUGCCUCAAAUUUGAUCCACCAAACAUGUAACUUGUUCAAUAGAAUUUUUGUGAUCAAGAGCAAAAAGAUGAAAAUAAACGCUAUUUGUUCUUGUCAUGAAUAAAUUGUUAAUAUCAAUUGAUGCACUAUGGAACAAAGUAUAUGAGAAACUGAAAUUUGAAGAGGGAUUAACUUAUCAAUAUAUAUCACUAAACCAUGUCUAUUUACCAAUACAUCAACCAGCUUGUAAUAUAUAGAUCGUGUGCAUAGUUAAAGGCGAACCCUAGCUUCCCUCUUAUUGUUACAACAUUACAUAACAUCUAUGCUCAUCCAAUUAUGUUACAACAAUGUGGAAACACUAUUCCAAAAAAGGAUUCAAUCAUGUUUCUCUUUUAUAAUUCAUCUCUCACGCCCGCUGUCACAUGCUCGUCAUAAGAUAAAUAAGAUUUGAUAAUAGAUUCAUAAAUUUUGAUUCAUUUCAAGUAUUCAUUUUUAUUUAGAAACUGCAACAUGGUGACAAUAUGAUGGAUAGAUUCCAAGAGGCUAAUUUGGACAAUGAACAAUCUUCAAUAACAAAAAAUUUAUGUGCAUGACUAAAAACAACCAAAGAACGAAAUUGUUCUAAAAAACAACCAAAGAACAAAAAAUAUAUGUGUGUGCAUGACUGAAAACUAGGAAAACAACCAAACAACCAAAUAACAGAAAAUCUUGUAGCUUGUAAGCAAAGGAUUUGAGAAAAAAUUUUGUAAAACAAAGUUACACACACAUAUAUGUAUAUAAUAGUUGAAAGUUUGAAACUCAAGGAACUUCUGCUUAAGCAUUAUAAACCAUAGUUAACUAACCGAUGGUUGAGGUUAGAAUUGUCCGAAAACGAUAUUUCAAAUUUUGAAUUUUGUGCAAUUCGAAAUUUCAAAUUUUGCAUUCCGUGCUUUUAUAUAAUGUUUGUGAAUUGCUACUUCCUCUGAACAAAAGUGAAAUACUCACUCUCCUCUUUGUCUAGCUCACCGAUUCGCACUUCUUCUGACUGCAACUCAAAAAACAAAACGUGGGCGGUGGACCCACUUGUCGUGCUCAGCGGGGACGACGUCGGUAUGGGAUUUGAGGAGGCCGGAUGGAAGGGAGAGAGGGGUCGGAGCCGGGCCAUUUGAGGAGGACGAGGGGCUUGUUUGGGACGAAUUCGAGGGUCUGGGAUUGGAGGGAGAGGGAGUUGGCCUCGGUGAGGAUGAAAUCGACUACUUCUUGGUACAAGGGUUUAGGGUGGGCUGUGUUGAUUUGGAGGUAUUUUUGGAACCUUGAGAUUAUUGAGUCUUGUUCUUCUGCGGAGAUAGAUUUUGAUGAGAGGAGGAGGGAGAGUAAGGAGAGACGAAGGAGGAGCUCCAUUUUCUUCUUCUCAGGUGAUGCGUCAAGAGUGAAUGUGUGAGGAAAUGGUAGUGAGAAAUUAGAUUCUUGGGGGCUAAGGCGUUUAGGUCCAAUAAAUCUGUGGUUUUGUUGUUUGGGGUUUUGGCCCAAACGUAGAGAGAUGUUUUACAUUCAAACCGGUUUAGAUUUGAUUUAGAUAAGGUGCAUGCUCAAUUUUUCAAACACUACCGAACUGACUAAGUAACGGAAAGUUAUGACGUCUAUUACGUGAUAAUAUGUUUUCUUGUAGUCAAUACCAAGGUGUUGAGAGAAACCUUGCGCCACAAGGCGGGUUUUAUACCUAAGCACCUCAUUCUUCUCAUUACGCUUUCUAACAAGGACCGAUUUAUGUCCAACAAGCUUUACACUUUGCGGGGUUAGCACUACCGGGACAAAGACCUUUCUCUUUGCUAGAAAAUCUAAUUCUAUCUGGAUUCAUAAGUGUUCUCAUAAUACAUUGAAAUUUCUUUGUUCUCUGAUAUCAAUGUUGAUCUUGAGGCGUCCCCCAUAGAUAACAACAUUGAUUCAUGAACAUAACUAUAUCAGAGAUAAUCUCAUGAGAAGGAUCCUCAACAUCGAUGAUCAAAGAAUUGGGUUGUGCCUUGUCUGUCUAUUUCUUCCUUGGACGAACAUCAACUGAACUAAGCGGCCUCCCCUUUUUCCUUAAGGAGCCACGACCUCCACCCUUCCACUAGGGGCGGAGACGUCGUGGCCGACAGCUGCGGUAUCAUUUCUCACUUUCGAUCCUCUGAAGCGUCGAAUAGUACUCUUAAAAAUUGUUGGUCAAUGUCGAUCCACCUAGUUAUGAUAUUCGAAACGGCUGUGUCUAUUUAAUUAUUGGUUGUGUUGAUAACUUUUCCAACACUCUUGGCGAAAAAGCGCACGAAAAAUAUUUGUCAAGGUCCAUUGACUAAAAAAACCCUAAUGAAAUGCAAUGACACCCAAAUUAAUUCUUCGAGACCUUCAUAUAAGGCUACAACAACAACGACAACAAAGAUAUCAUCAAAACGCUAAGAAACACAAUAAAAAACGGCCGAGGCAAGUUUGAACACCACCGUAAGAGCCACAAGUCCAUCAGUAGAGCAAACGGAAUCCAAAUCCAAUAGGAUAUCAAUACCACAUCCUUUAAACAUUCGAAUCAUUAGUUCCUUUUACUAUCUAGUGAUUUUGUCAUUAACUGCUUCCUUUUCCUUCACCAAACCUGCCAAAUUUUUCACAUGUCCCCCCUCAUAUUGUACUCUCAUCUACCUCACCAAUUUGGCAAAAUUCCUACGUGCAGUCACACACAGCCACCCCCUAAAAACGGUAACCACCAAUAAACAAGUCCACCAAAACACCAUUCACGCUGUGACUCAUGUCCCGUGACUCAUCCAAAUCCCACCCCCACCCGCUUCAAAAUCCCAUCAGAAAUUCAGAAUCCCCAACACUGUAAAAAAGCUAGAUUUCAUUUCAUUUUCGCAGCUUUCCAAAUCUCACCCCCCCCCCCCCCUACCCUACCCAAAACCGACGACCGGUCACCUCCGUCAUUCCCGCAACUUGGGUGUUAAGUCACUAAAACCCUUUCCAUAUAUUUUCCCCAAAACCCUAUUUAAACCCCCAACCACGUAAGACUCUUUGACCGAAUCCCCACAAAUCCAACACAGUCUUCGUCUCUGUCGCUCUCACCAGAAUCUCACACUCUCUCUCUCUCUUUUCUUCUCUCUCAUGGCGGAGGACUACAUGAAGGGCUCUAUGCGCAAGCUGGCCCUCUGGUACACCCGGACCUUCAAACCCAUUAUGACCCACGACGAGUUGGAGCCCAUCAUGGCCACCUUGGGGUUCGUGGGUCGGCCGGCGGCGGCGACGGUGCCGAACUCGGCGGUCAUGUGGAAGGAGUACGUGUUCUGCGCCGCCGGUGGGUGGAGGAGCAAGUGGGGUGCGGCGAAUGAGACGCCGUUGCUGCCGAGGCCGAGACUGCCGUACCCGAGAAUCGAUGGGCUCCACAUCUACUCAUACCGGGCUUUCCUCGAGGCCGUUAAUUUCUACCUCGAGAUGUGUGACAUCUCCGAUCUCUUCCAUAUUAGGUACCGAGCUACCUCUGUUUCUUCAUUUCUGGGUUUUGCUUUUCCCGAUUAUGUUAUUUUUGUUUGUUUUAUUGUUUGAGGGUUUUGGGUUUUUUGUUGUUGUUAUCUGAUCAUUCUGGUCAAUUUUAUUAGUGAUAAUCGUUCUGAUUAGGUUGCUUGAUCAAGUUGUUAUGCUUAUUUUUCAAUUUUGUUUGCUGGAUUAAUGGGGGUGGGUGGGUUAUUUGUCAUUGUAUGACAAAAACAUGUGUGGCGAAUGUGGCAAUUUUGGACCAUAGUCCCUUGCUAGACCAAGUCACACCAAUAUUUUGAGUGCCCAAAUGGCCAAAGUUAUAAAAUACACUUUAUACUGUAUAAUAAGAAAGAUUCAUUCUUUGGAUCGAAAUGCAAGAUUUAAAGAAAGAAAACUUCAAAAGCCGUUGAAUUACAUCGUAGAAGGCGAGCUUGUUAGUUUUGAAAAUCUGUGAGAGCUUGCUUGGUGUAACUAAUUCGUAACAUGGUAAUGUGAUUGGUAUGUGGAGAUGGAAAUGAUCGUGUUUGUGUUGAGUUCAUAUCAAAAUUAUUACAAAAUUAAUAACUAGAUUGUGCAUCUUAUCUAAUAAGCAAACGUAUUUAAUAAACGAGUUUCAUGGUUUCUCGUUUAGUGAUUGUAACGGUUAUGUUCUACUAUUAUUGUUUGUGUAAGAUAUAAUGUCAUUAAUAAGCCUAUCAGUUUUUCAUGUGUUAACCUAAUCAGUCAAAUACACAAUGUAUGAUGCGGUUCAUAUUCUUUUCAUGUUCAAGUGGUGUUACUUGUUCUUUUCUUUUUCCUUUCAAAAUAAAUAUGAACCAUCUCUUCUGUGUUUGCCCUUCCUCUUUUCUUUUCUUUUUUUAAAUUUUAAUUAGGUAUUCAUUUUUUUAAAAGAAACAAAUAAACUGCAAAGAUACUCUGAUUUCUGGAAAAUUGGGAGUAAUGUCAUUUUAAAAUUGAUUAGUCUAAUAAGUCUGAAAUAAUCUGCAGAGGUCAGGUAGGCUCUAGAUUUAAUUAAUCUUCACAAAUCUAUCUAUAUACAUGGUACAUCUAUCAACCUUGUUGUUCUUGGGUACAUCUUUACUGACAUAGAAAGCAAGAUAACAUAUUGUAUGCUUUUAUCUGAAAAGCUACUAACACGAAACAUUGGAUUCUGAGGGCUUUUUAACUGAAUGAGCUUUUAACCCUUUUACUUUGUACUUGGUAUAUUUCAGAGGAAUGCCACUCCAUGAUCUCCAUCGAAUUAAAGACCGAAACAGGAAGUGGCGAAAAAUGGAAGAAGAUGACAGUGUGUUUGUCUACAGAGAAGGAACUCUGGAUCAAGCAACAUUCAAUCUAUAUCACUCUCCCAAGACCAUCAGCAAUAACACCCUUAAUAACAGCAAUGGCGGUGAUGACCACAAUUCAAUCGUUAUCCGGGAGAAAGGCAAUAGCACCCCAACAAGCUGCAUUGUUCCUUUGAAAGAUAUCAUAGUAUGAGUGUCAUAAAUUUCCAUGACUGUUGGAAGUUUUGAAGAAUAGAAGUAAAACAAAACCUCACAGAUUAUUCGUUUUAUAAACCAAGAACUUUUUGUUUUCCUCCUUUGCUCAUUCUUACUUCCUUUCUAGCAUGUUUGUGUUUAUAACUUCGUAUCUUUAAAGGCCAAGGUUUAGAGAAAGGGAAGUCAAGCACAUAGGCGAUGCUUGCUCAUUAUAACGGCGUUCUCUUCCCAUUCCUGUGCUUGAGUAUGGCCGUGCUCAAACAAGAUUGGUUGGUAGUGGCUUAACUGUUUGAACUCAGGUUCACCAUUCCAAUCACUUCUAUCAAUAUUCAUGGAGACGUAGAUGUUGGCUGCCUGCAUCAAAUGUUGGAAUAUUGAAAAACAGAAGUAAAACAAUGCUCACACUGAUACUUAUAUGGGAGUGAGGCUAUAUGCACCCAACCAUUAUCACAUAAGCUCAUUACAUCUCACUUAUUCACUACAUCCCAAAAUAUAAACCAUUGAGAUGACUAUUUAAGAACUUCUUAAAAAAAACUUUUUUUUUUUUUUGCACUCUUUUACUCAUUCUUGCUUGGUUUUCUGAAUUUAGAGGUCUAAGGUUUAGAAACCCAUAAAAGCUAGAAUUGGGCUUUGACAGUAAUCUGCUUAGUAAAUCACUGAAUGGGGUCGUUUUGGACUUUAAAGUGCCUUGAUGUUAUAUUAGGCCUGCUUAACUAUAAAAAAGAUUGCAGUCGUAGACUUUAGUAUAGGAGGUUUAAUUCUAGUUGGCUUGCAAAGACAGACAAGAGACACAAAAUGCACAUAUUAUGGCAAAACUCACCUAGUUGUAUCAAAUGUUGGUAUGGACUUAUUAGCAAUUUAGCAUCAUAAAGUUACAACCAUGAAAAAGAAAAAAAAUUAAAAAUUAAAAUUAAAAAACAACAUCAAUAGUGAAUAAUCCACACCGCGUGCACAAAAACUCUAUCGCUAUGGGUUUUCACCAAAACCCUAGCCGCUAAGGCGUUGCACACCAACUAUGGCGAUCUCCUUUGGUCUCCGCCAUCAACCAUGCUCUUAUGGCCUUCCAUUGUCGUUACUCAUCCUUCUACAGUGCUAAGAUGGUCUUUCUUCCAUCUCUUGAAGGUGAUUAUGCGAUUGGGUUGCAACAAUCUUUCAAAUCUUUUCUUUUCAAUGACGACACGGUUGGAGCAUGGCCAUGGUCGGAUUUGGCACCACGGUUGCAGCUUAUGAUGGAACGUACUUAGAUUUGGUGGUUAGGUUUGGUGCGACGCUAAUUGGUGUUGAUUUCUCGAAUAUCAGCAAUUGGUUCGAUGAUUGCAACUAGGUUUAGCCAUUGGGGGGAUUUAAUUGGUUUAUAUACCCUUUUUCAUGUAAGGAUUAUUUAGAAUAUAUCAUUAUUAUGUUUUGCCAUUAUCGAUUAGUAAUAGACUCACUUUAGAUAACCGAGAAUAUGGUCAAUGAGUAGUUCUAUCAUGUGUAUCAUUGUGGGGUUUCGCUCAUUGCUUCUUGUCUAUCUGUACAUGAUAGGAAAAGGUAUGUAACGGUUGCUCUAGCUUGAGUAUUUUCUACAUGAAUUGAAAUCCAAUGAUUUGCCGUUCAAAAAAGCCCUACCCCGGGUAACCUCUUAAAAGAGAAUCAUAAGAUAUGUCAUCAAAGGGAGGACGAAACAUAUCGUAUUUCAAAAGAAAAUGUCGUCUAGACAAUAUCAAAACUUUUAAAUGGUAAAACCGUAAAAGAUGAUGUCAGUAACACAUGAUCUGAUUCCAGGAGAUUCCAAAAUUCGGUCGAGUUCAAAAAUUGAGAUCCCAUUUUUUCACAUCUUGAAAUCUCAUGUUCUUCAAUAAUGGAACAAAACAAUCUACGAGAUUCAUUGUUCAAUUCAAUGAACACUUAGAAAUUCAAUAAAAUUACAUUCAAAUUUCAAAAUAUUCAUAACAAAUCAAAAUAGAAAGCCUCUCAGGCCGCCUACCACUCCUAUUACACAUUCCUCUCCUAGGCACGCCACCGUUUAGCAACUAGGGCGGGUUGAGCAGCUAAGUUUUAGAACAUUUUCAAAUUAUUAUUAUAUUCUAUUAGUACCUUACAGUUUUAUGGAGAAUGAAAUAUAUUGACUCGUUAAUAUAUAAUUCAUAUUGCUUGUUUCACUUUUUAUUUGAAGUUCCUAUAGAAAUUGCAAGUCAUAUUGAGUGUUCAACUAUUGAUUGUAAAAUGAGAAAUAUGAACAUUGCUUGUGUUGUAACAUAUAAUGGGAUCUUCAACUAUAUCACCUUCGAUGUGUAUAAGAAGAUGCUGAACUUUGCGAAAUUUUGUUUCGAAGCCUUUGACACCUCGGUCGGGAACUAUUUGUAUCGGGUCUUCUACACAAACAUUCAUGUUGAACCUAAAGGUUUUUUCGAGCCACGAGCGAACAUGCUCCGUAUAUGGCGGAGCUGUAUCGAACCACAAAACAAGGGUUUUGCAUCCAAGGCGGCGGAGGAUUCCUUUUUCCUCCGUCGACCAACUAAGGAGGGAUUUGUGGGCACUACAACAUGGGGAGUCGAUGGAGUCUCCGCCAACGCUGCCCGGAUCCCAAUCCAACUAAUCCAGAAUCCAUGUAUGUCGCGGUCUAUGGCUGUGAAGACUAGGGGUUUUGACGAAGGUGGGCGUAUGCUGGCCAAGAUGGACCUUCUAAGGAUGGAUCUAACGACGGAGCCAACGUGGACGUCAUGUCCAAGAGCACUGGAUAUCCCGAUAGGUCCUGUGAUCGGAAGAAGAAUUCAAUCGUAUCUGAUAGCGCCGAUUGAACUAGCUACUGCCAAGGAACCAUGGUUGCAGGAGUUUCGUGAAUGGUGGCCAGGAAAAGAGGUGAUGCUAAUCUGGAAGAGAACAGGAAUAGGGGUGACUAAGGUAUGGAGGCGUUGGUGGAGGCGUUGGUGGAGGCGCUGCGGCCUUAGACGCCGUCAACGUGUCUGCAACAUGUGAAUUGAAGCAUAUCUGGUAGGGUUUGGGAAUAAGCCUGGGUCUAAAAUUGAACCCCUUAAAUGUUAGAUAAUUUGGAAUUGGGCUAUUAUGCCUGAUUUCAAAUUGACUAUGGCUUAAAUUGCGGUGUUGGAUAGCUUGGCAGACUGUGCGAGCUAACUGCAGCUAGAUAGAUUCAUGAAGCUUGGAGUAUUACAAUUGAGUGCCUUGGCUCGAGUUUUAUGUUUUUUUAGCAUCUUCUUUUGUAUCUAGUUUAAUCCUCUGCUAAAUUCACAUGAAUAAGUGAGCUAAUGUUAGCCAAAAAAGUCACCCUCAAGUAUAAGGGCUACAAGUAAUAAUAUAGGGAUUAAGAAAGGUUGUCGAACCCAUGAGGAUUGGAUUCCUUUCACUAACUAGGGUGUUAACCUCAAGAGAGCUAGAAUAUGCAAAUGUACAAUCACAAACCUAAACACAUAAGGAAAUCUAGGCUCAUGGUGAGUAUGUGCAACAUGGAGUAGUGAUUUGAUUUUGGGUUUUUGAAGUAGUUAACUAAACUAAAUGCUCAAAUGUAAACUAAAUUACUCUAAACUAAACUAGUGGUCUAAUGAAUGGUGUUAGAAUUCGAAUUGUCUACCACUAACCUCUCUUGCAAGUAUUGAUGUAAAUCACUAUGAAUGAUGCUAAGCUAAUCAACCAAUUUCUCUCCUUGCAUCCCUCUCGGAUAUGACAAAAGACAUGCUCCUUUUGUGGUAUCAAGCAACCCCUCUCGGGUGUAGUACUUAACUACUUAAGUCAUGUAUUUCAAUCCAGCUAGACAUCUAGUACAUUACCCUAAGUGCAAACCAACCAAGCUUAUCUCUAAGUGAUUGUAAUUCACAACCCCUACAUGCACACCUAGUGUGCUUUUAUGCUCUAACAUUCAAAGGUUACCAAGCUCUAAACAUUAUCAUGUCAUGGCAAACUCACAUACUCAAAGUGGUAAAUUCUAAGCAUAUACAUUCAACUCUUGAACUAGCAUGUAUGAAUGUUAACUAAAAUUGCAUCAAAUCAUAAUAUAACAUCAAUCCAUACAAGAUUGGUUAGGGCUUUCAACCCUAACCCUAACAAAGUUACUACUCACUCAUAACAAUACAAAUCAACACCAAAUCUUAUAUACAUCAAGAAAAAUUAAGGAGUUUAAGGAAAGAGUGAACUAGUUGAAGCUUGACAAAUUAAUGGCUUGCUCCUUCAUGGGUUUCCUCAAUCUAUGCUCCUUGGAUCCUCCUUGAUGGUGGAAUGGAUGGAUAAUAGAGUUCUUGUUGAUGAUGAAUGGAAUGGAGAUGAAGAGAUGGGUGCUUCUUUGCCUAAUUUUGAGUGGUAGUGAUGGAGUGGUGGUGGUUAUGGAGUUUAUGGUGGUGGAAGAUGGUAGUUGUGGUGGUGGUGAUGGAGGAGAUGGAGUAGAUUUUGGGGGAGGAAGAGGAAGAGGAUGGGUUUGGAUUUUGGGAGAAGGAGAAGGAGGUUUGUGGUGGAAAAAGAGAGGUAGUGGUGAAUGGGUGAGAUGUGGAAUGUUGUAGUGGAUAGAUGUAUGUUUAUUAUAUAGAAGAUAAGUGAAAAUGGGGGAAUGAGAGAGCCAAAACAACCCCCUUCCCUAAUUCAACCGUAAGGGAGAGAAGGAAGAGUAUGAGAGUGUCCAUGAAUUGCUAAAAACAAGAUAAAAAUGUACGGAAAUGAUGACAUAGGUUAGAGUAGGCAAUGAUGAUGUUUAAAGCAUGGUGAUGUCUAUUAUCUAAGGAGUAAUAGAAUGAAUUUCAUGUUGUUACUCAAUCACCAUUAAUCUCCUUGAUCCUCCUUUAUGGUGACCGGAAAAGACAUGGCACCACCAAAAGUGGUGGUGAGCCGCCAUUUGUGCCGUCAAUAAUGGUGGUUCACCGGAAUCCGGAAAUCUACGUUUUGCUUCACAUUGGACCGUCAUUCUUCCUAGCUCCGAUUCUCCAUGUUAAUGCCAAAAAUGCAUGUUUUCAUCAGACUUGCAAUCUUCCUAGAUAAAUAGAAAAUGAUUUAGUAAAAGCAAAAAUGAACUCAAAAACAAGGCAAAUUCAAUAUUUAGGGGAAUGAAAAUAUGUGUAAAUUAUAGUCUAACAGCUAAUUGAGCGUCUUGGCUCCAGUUUUAUGUUUUUUUAGUAUCUUCUUUUGUAUCUAGUUUAAUCCUCUGUCAAGUUCACAUGAAUAAGUGAGCUAAAUGUCUAAUGUAAUAACACUAUUGUGAUCUUUGUGGUCAUUGUAAUCUCGCCAUUCUGGCUUUCGUUUAUAUAAAUGAUUUAUUACUUUUAAAAAAAAACAUUCAUAUUGAACCUAAAAAAUUAGUGCUAUUUAUGGAGGGCAAUUCAUGUUAUUCUGUUAUGAUCUUUUCGUGUCAUCAUCUCAAUAAGUAGUCAAGUACUUGAAUGAUGAGUAUCAAAACGUUUGCUCAUAAUAAGACCAUAUUCAUCUCAUAACUUGGCAAUAAAAUACUGUCCUUCAAACUUUCAAAGUUCAAACCGUUAUGAAGGUGAUGAUGCAAGAACAUCAUAGCAAGGACACAGUAUUACUUUCAAGGAAUUCAAGCUAAGGAUCAUCUGCUUUGAAGACCUGAUACAAUUAAUUCUUGCUCGGAGAUGUCAUGGGCUCCAAAAUUGAAUUUGGUUAAAGUCGUCAUCAUCCUACGCACAUUGACAGUGAGUUAGAAUAUGAUCCAUUAUGUGAUAGAAUUGUAAAAAUCAUAACAGAAGUAUGGCAAAUGCAGAUAUUUAUUUACACUAUAAUCGUCCUGCACACUAUGGAGUCAAAGUUACUCGAAGAACACUUCAAAACUAUUUUUACACUAAAAUUUUAUCAAUAUUUACAUAUAAAAUCACGUAUUACAACAAGAAGAUACUUACAAUUUGCUUUUGUCUUCUAUAUAUUUGUUCCAAGAUCCCAAAAAACAAAAUAUAAUUGUAUCUUUCGAGCUUUCCGUAUCUCUGUCUGCCCCAUCAGUCCAUCACUACAAUACAAAGGCUCAAAGCGUAGACAAAUGCAGGCGCCAAAGCCCCCUUUUCAGAUUUUCCGAGUCUCCAUUCGCCGCUAGAAAGAAAUAAAAGAAAGAAAUAAAGCAUCCAUCUUUUACAGGUAUAGAGACCAACACACCCCUCUAAUCUCGCCCUCGGAGAAUGUGCCCUCCAGUGUGAACCAUGGAAGCCCAUUGUAGGCACCCCCUUUGUCAAAGUGUUUCAUCUUUUCCAUUAGAGCUUCAGUUCUAGCCUAGCUUCAUCUAAGUAAGGAGAUUCUGGUUAUCUGACACAGAAAGGUGAAGGUUUUCUUUCUUCACCCUCAAAGGAACCCAGUUCAAGUUUACACACUAUACCUCUCACUGAGAGGUCUUGAGGUCUCAAAUGGGAGCCCUUCAAGCCACAGUUCUUCUCUGCUUGGUCUUAUUGCAUCUGUGCAGCAGCAUUCUUGCCCAAGAUGAAGAUUGGAAGACUGCUACUGCAACUUACUCCAAAGAAACAGAUGGGUCUAUCAUUACUGGUACUCUUCUUGCUUCAAGUCUAAACAAGUUUGCAAAAGUUUCAAGCUUUUGACUUCAUAAUGAGUUCUCAAAGCCUAUUGUAUGCAAUUUUUCUAUAUUUUGACUACAUAAUGCUUAAUGGGUGGGGGGGGGGGGGGGGGGGGUUCUAUUUUAAGGUAGAACUUGCAGAAGUUUCAGGCUUUUUGCCUAUAUGAUGUUACUUCAUGUUUACAGGUUUCGAAUUUCAUUAGAGGAUUCUCGAGGUCUGUUAUGAAUUUGCGGUACUUAAAGGACUAUGAGAUUUUGGAAAUUCGAUGUUUAAAGUAUCCAACACUUUUAGUAUGGGUGCUUAAGGUAUUCUUGCAAGGGUUUGCAAGAUUUACAAGUUUUUGACUGAUUAAAGCAGCUCUAUGUUUCCAUACUGUCACUCUGUUGGUAGGUUCUUACAGUUUGUUGUUUAUUUUCUUGCAGAAGGUGCUUGUGGUUAUGGUGACCUUCACAAGAUUAGCUAUGGGAAAUACAGUGCUGGGCUGAGCCGGAUUUUGUUCAACAGAGGAAGUACUUGUGGUGCUUGUUAUGAGCUGAGAUGUGUUGACCACAUCUUAUGGUGCCUGCAAGGGAGCCCCUCUAUAAUACUCACUGCUACCGAUUUCUGUCCUCCGAAUUUUGGGCUUUCGGCGGAUUAUGGUGGCUGGUGCAAUUUCCCCAAAGAACAUUUUGAGAUGUCAGAGGCAGCAUUUGCUGAAAUUGCAAAGAAAAAGGCUGAUAUUGUGCCAGUUCAGUAUAGGAGGUAAAGGAGAUAUGCUGUUCACAAUUAUCUGUUCUUUGUUCUGGUUUUAAUUGCUUCCACUAAGCAAAAAGGUCUGUGGAUUUCCUGUGCAGGGUGAAGUGUGACAGAACUGGAGGACUACGGUUCACUAUGAGUGGAAGUUCUCACUUCUAUGAAGUCCUGAUUACCAAUGUAGGUUCGGAUGGGGAAGUGGUUGCUGUGAAGGUGAAGGGUUCGAAAACAGGGUGGAUACCGAUGACUAGAAACUGGGGACAGAUUUGGCAAAGCAAUGCCAAUCUUCAAGGGCAGCCUCUUUCUUUCGAGGUAACAGUCAGUAGCGGAAAAACGCUCGCAUCUUACAAUGUUGCUCCAUCAAAAUGGCAAUUUGGUCAGACAUUUGAAGGGAAGCAGUUCUAGUAUGGGAUUAGAAAUCAUAUGCAUUGAUGCCAUUGAAGAACAGAACGCUGCUCCUGGUCAUGAGUCGUUGUCAUAUUAAUUUCUCUGCUAUCCUUAAAAGUUUAGGUGGUGGUCAAAAAGAACGAAAAUUGUAGAAGCAAGUUGAAAAGAAUGGGAAUACGAGGUCCCAGUUUUGUCUCCUGAUGAUAGGAGGAUUAGGACGUGUAAUACUUGAUGGAACAUGUAAUUAUUUAAAGUGAUGCUACUGCAUUCUUGUUUAUAUUCUGACUUUUACUGGUUGUAUUUUGUUUGUGUUUAACCGUUGUUAUUGGAGAUGGCUUACCAGAUGUUGCUUCUGCAGGUAAAAGUUACCCCAUUCUGGAACUCAACAAUUGAUUUUCAAAAAUGAGCUAGAGUAUCAUUUAUCCAAGGGUCAAAAAUUGUAUAAAAAAUCACCAAGAAAAACCAGAAGAUGACUGAACACGUCAAACUGCAGUGCACUCAGAAGGAAAAGGAAAAAAGCUCAGAAAAGUGAAAAAAAGAAGCAGCAUAAAGACUCUGGAAUAAGACUCUGGUGUACACGAGAGGAAUUCAGAGAAAAUGUUCUGUAUAAUAUUUUAUUGACAAUUUUCAUACUGAAUAACAUUGAUAAUUCAUCCAGACCUGCUGAAGCUAGAGACAGAUGCAUAAUGCACACACUUUCAGAUUAUUAUUCAGCCCUUUAUAUCAGCUGCAGUUGUGUUGACAUCAGCACCAGCUUGUACUUUCGGGCAUCUCAGUGACAUGGCCUUCAUCUUCCUUAUAAUUGAUUUGUUUAGAGGUCUCAUACUAUUACCAAAAGCGAUGUUCUCUAGCGCAUAUGAAACUGUGCAUCGGCUUCUCCGACGACCGGUGGGGAUAGUGUUUGGGUCUACAGGCCCUGAGAACGAUGCAGCAGAACUUUGAUUAUAGUUGGGAUCAUCUUCCAAAACUUGGAGAUUUACAGCGGAAUCACCUGGCUGGAGAACGGUUAUCAUUUCCUGUUGGAAAUUAUUAUAGUUUUGGAAGAAAAAGAAGAUCCUGACUACGAUCCUGGUUAGCAAAGUUUUACAGCAUUGGUUUCAGAGCCUGCACACCCACAUAAGUUGUUAAUGAACAACUAAAGGAGGGUAACGAUGUAGAAUUCACUUUAACAUGAUAGAAUACCCAUAACCAACUUCCUAAACAUUUUUGAACCCACAAUAGUGAUAGUGUAUGAAAGAAAAAUGAGGAAUAUAUAUAUCUCAUUGAAAAAUGGGGAAUAUAAAGAAAAAUGAAAGAAAAAUAGGGACAUACAAUAUAUGUGCCUCAGUCCUCAAAGAAGCUCUAUCAUUGGUGUAUUGUCGUGGUAAUCUACUGACUUUAGAUUAAAAAUGAAACGACAGGAGUGAACCUCAUCUUUGAAAUAGUAAUAUUUAAUUUCAUCACUUCUCCUAUGCAGCCAUUUUCUAAGAAUUGUUACUGUAAGACAAUUCAAUAUACAAAUCCUAAACAGAAAAAGGUUCUUAGUAGACAGAAAUUAGCCUAAACUGGAAUAUCAUAUAAUAGAUAAGAAUCAUAAGAUAAGAUAAAAGGAAGUGGCUGAUAAUCAUAAAAACUGUACAGCAAUUAGUUAUUCCUGUAUCUGUUGCAUGUUUGUUAGCACAUAUACAGCGGUUGAUACUGAUGCAAAGCAUUACAACUUUCAGGCUAUAAGUGGUGACAAGAAGUUGAUAAAGAGUCAAAUGGGUUGCGUAUGGAAAAGAGAGGGUGCAAUGGCAAGUUAAAUCACGAUUCUAUUAUAUAGCCAAAAGUGACCAAAAUAUUUUCUUAAAGUGAAUGAGAACUCAGAAUAAUAAAAACCAACUCACAAAGUAUUUAAGUCUUACAAAGAACUAAGUUGAUCUGUUCCCAACUUUUAGGCUAAGCAAUACUUCUCCAACCAAGUCUUACCAAGAACUUGAGUCUCAGUUUAUCCUAUGCAAGAUGAAGUCAAUAUAUUUACCCAUCAUGACCAGAUUUUGUUACAAAUUCCUUGCAAGGCAAUAUCAUAUGAUCUUAUCCAAUUGAGUCAUCACUGACUCGCUGUCAUUUCUUCAUUCUCCUCUAGAAACUCCAGAGAAUCACCAUACAAAUUUUGAGCAUCCUGCCUUACAAUACCUAAAGGACCUGUCUCUCCCAUCGACUCUAGACCUUUUAUAAGUACUCUAAAGGAUGACCUAUCUGGUUCACACCCUACCUCUUUCAUCAAGUAAUAGCACUCCAUUGCAAGAUUAGGGAGGUUAAAACUUAUUAAUGCUGUCAAUAGAACGUUAAAGCCCUCAAUGUCAGGCUGUAAAUUAGCUUCUUUUUUCAAGCACAAGCAAAGAAGUUUGACUUGUUCAAACAAUUCAUUGUUAGCCAUUACCUUGAUCAUAUCAGCAUAAAGCAUAACCUGCGGCUUAUACCAGUAUUCCUUUCUAAUGUCUUGAAAAACCUGUAAGAAACAACGGAAAAACAAUAUCAAUGCAAGAACGGUAAGUCCACCAAAUAGUUUACAGAAAUCAAAAGAACAACAAAUUCAAAACAAAACACGAAAAUGUUUGCAUUUCAGGACGCAACAUAAUUUCUAGGAAUGGUUCAAAACUUCAAAUGAAAGAGACUCAAUCUUCAAUGAAAAAUUGAAAACAAAUGGCAAAUAUGUAAACAUUUCAGGACUCAAUUCCAACAUAUAAAAAUAAAAGCAAACGAAAGAGUACCCAAGUCGACUUUUUAAAUAAAUUCAUGGAAAUACAGAUUGAAAUCAUGAAGAAAUGGAAUUAAGAUUGCAAAGAGCAAACCUUGAGGGCCAAGAAGCACUCAUUUUGGCGCAGGAGGUCUUUGAGUACGGCCAUCAUGUCGAGCUUCAAUAAGCGUCUGAACUUGGAAUUGAAGACUUGCUCCAUAAGACUCUCGUUUUUCUGGGCUCUCUUCAACGCUUGAAUGGUCUGAAUGGCUUCGAUGCUGAGAUUCCUUCCCUUCUGCAAAGGCCUUGGGUUCUUGCUUCUGUCUCUCAUUGUUAUUAGCAAUGAACAUCUCUUGGGUUUAGAAAGUUGCAGAUAUUGCGACUGAGGCUGUGCAUCAAAGCUUGUGAAGGUUUUGGGUAGAGAGCUGAAUAUAGGGACGGUUUGAAGUGCGGAAGGUCUCAUCGUGUUUGGAUAUUGCUAACCAAACCAGUCUGUUUUGGGAAGAAGACAGUCGUACGUCGUACAUAUACCACUGCGUUCUGGUGUUUCCAACCAUGAAAAUAAAAUACAAAAUUGGAUAAUUUUAUGUAUUUGUAUAGAUCAGGGAAUUGGAUUUUGUUGUUUUUUUUGUUUCGUUUUAUGGAAAUGAUUCGGUGAAAUGGAAUGAUGAAGACUUUAUGAUAAGAUAGGCAGCUCGAGAAGUUUGAUGUUCUAUGAGAUGGCAAAGAGAUACGAGUAAGGAAGAACUUUUUUGAUCGGAAAACUACCUCGGAUAUGUUAGCAAGUUAGUAAUAUAAACAUUCAGACAGUAUUCGAAUUGAGAUUAAUAAGUAUCCUAGCAAAAUUAGACUAAUCUCUUGCCAAAACUCAAAUGUCUCUCAAACCUGGUGACCACAAACUUCAUACAUGAUGAUUAUAUACUAGGCAGUUUGACCAACCUUAAAUGGUUGGUACAAAUGAUUUGAAUGGUACAAUUUUGAACCUUUCAACAAAAUACUUUAGACUCGAUUAUGAUUUAUUAAACUGUUUAUUUUAUUUUAGUUUCUUUUAUCAAUAGAUGAGAUAUUCAAAUAGUGAUACAAUCUUGAAAUAAACUGUCUAAAGUUCUAAACUAAUUUAGAAGUAUUGGUAUUUUCUUUUGUAUAUAUGUACUCAAAAUGAUGGGUGAGUGAGCUAUCAGUCAGUCUGUUGUUUGGAGCAAUUUAGAUAUAGUCCAUCCUCAAGGGAUGUUUUUGACAGGCUAGGAUUCGAACCAAAAAACUUCUCUCAUCGAGAGAAUCCCAACAACAUACUAUGUGUCAUAUCCUAUUUCCCAACACCUAAGUCCAAUGUCAUAGCAUUUCACUCCCUCCUAAAAAAUCCUACAGUCACCACCCUCGUCUUGUGAAUGCUACAUCCUAUCCUCGGACCUCCUUACCAAUCUCACAACUGCCACAUCAACCCCAUCUCAUAUAUAAAUUAUUCGAUCACGUCUCUUCUUCAAACUAAUAAGUUCUUUCACGAUCAAAAUCCAUUUUUACUAAACCAUUUUUACUACACCCAUACCGAUUAGUAUCAAGCACAACCUAACUCGUAUCAUGUCUACUCUUACCAUCCAGCUAGGGAAUGAGGAAACCCUUUCGAUCUCCCUUUGUGAUAAUAGUUAAUAACAAAAAUAGAAACCAACAAAGAUAUUAAAUAUUAAAAUUAUUAUCCAUUUUGACCCAAAGACAAAAUUAGAAAAGGAAAUAAUAAUAAUCCAUAGAAAAAACGUAGUAUUUCAUUACUUCGGGUCAAAGAUAUACGUAGCCGGUAGCUCCCUGUCAGUAUACGCAAAGGACACAGAGACAAAAAACCAUCACACACAGUCCUCCCUCCCUAUUAGAAAUUUCCGAUUACGCAAUCGUCAAAUCUCAAAUGCACCACCGACGCGGCGGCGGAUAAUCUUCCUCCGGAUCUGUCAAUGUCGGCCUCUCAAACCCUAGGCGGGGUUUCACGCGCCGGCCGCAUCCUCGGCCCUUCCCUCGACAAAAUCAUCAAGAACGCGGCGUGGCGGAAGCACUCGCAUUUGGUCUCCGCCUCCAAAUCCGCCCUCGACAAACUCGACUCCCUCUCCGACUCCCCUCUCAACGACCCCAACUCCCCCGUCGUCGGCUUCCUCUUCCCCGACGCCGAGUCCGUCCUCGCCCCUCUCCUCCUCGCCGUCGACUCCGCCCACCCCAAGGUCGUCGAGCCCGCCCUCGACUGCGCCUUCAAGCUCUUCUCCCUCGGCCUCUUCCGCGGCGAGAUCCACUCCGCCGCUCCCAAAUUCGUCCUCUUCCGCCUCAUCGACUCCGUCUGCAAGACCGGCGGCCUCGGCGACGACGCCAUCGAGCUCGCCGUGCUCAGAGUCCUCCUCGCCGCCGUCAGAUCGCCGCUCGUCGCGAUACGAGGGGACUUUCUGGUGAGCAUUGUGAGGAGCUGUUACAAUGUGUACCUUGGUGGAUUGAAUGGGACUAAUCAGAUCUGUGCUAAGUCGGUUUUGGCUCAGAUUAUGGUGAUUGUCUUCACCAGAGUCGAGGCCGAUGCUAUGCACGUCAGCAUUCCCAGGGUUUCGGUGAACGAGCUGCUGGAAUUCACUGAUAAGAAUUUGAACGAAGGGAGCUCCAUUUUAUUCUGCCAGAACUUCGUCAAUGAGGUUAUGGAAGCUAGUUAUGGAGGUCCUGAUAGUGUCAAUAUGGCGGCUCCGUCCCCCAGGAGAUUGCAGAAUGGAAAUGCCGGCGAGUCGGGGGAUGGAGAACCCAAUGAUGGAGCUGAAUCCGGCGAGGGAGGUGGUAGUAGUAAGAUUCGGGAUGACGGAUUUUUGUUGUUUAAGAAUUUGUGUAAGUUGUCGAUGAAGUUCUCGUCGCAGGAGCAUUCAGAUGAUCAGAUACUAUUGAGGGGUAAGAUAUUGUCCUUGGAGCUUCUAAAGGUGGUCAUGGACAAUGGGGGUCCUAUUUGGCGCACCAAUGACAGGCAAGUGAUUUGAUCUAAAUUUAUUAUUAAACGAAUCCGGUCUAGUAACUGAGCAAAGUGACUUAGCAAUAUGGAUUGUUGUUUCUGUUUGUCAUAAUAUAAACUAGUGAGCAAGCAACUUAUUAUGCAUUCAUAUGUAAUAGUGUGAGCAAUUAUAUGGAUCCGUAAUAGUGGAAAACAAGUGAGUAAGCAACGUAUGAUGAAUUCAUAUGUAAUAGUGUAAGCAACUUAUUGAUUCCGGUAUAGUGGAAAACUAGUGACUAAGCAAUGAUAUUAGUGCAAGCUAAAAUAUAAACCAGCUAUGAUGAUGGACUAGUAACUGAGCAAUGCCUGUCUUUCAGUUUCUUUCAUUUGCUUUAGGAAUAUAUGUAGAGACCGAGGGAAACUGAACUAGUGACUAAGCAAUGUAUAAAGCAUUCAUAUAUACAUAUGGUGCUUCAAGUGGCAUUUUGUUGUUGUUGUUAAGGACUUUUUGGUGAAUGUACAUCAUUUUAUAAUGAGAAAAAAAGAAUAUAUAUAGUCCGUCACUUACACCCGCAUACCUUUUAUCUGGGAGUUGGGUGGAUACUGGUUUAUAUGUAAUGGUUAUAAUAAGCAUCACUCCUGAGCCAGGUUAUGUCCUUAUUAUAGAAACUAAGUUCGACGGAUGUCAGUUUGAAGACUGGAGUAAGUUAAAUAUGUAUCUGUUGCUUAUUUUUUUCGUCUGAUGUGUAUUGUUUAUAUAUAUAUAUAUAUAUUGUAGAAUAUCCUGUUAUUCAGGCACAUUCAGCCAAUUUUAUGAAUAAUGCUUGAGGAACCUGAUAGUUUCAUUUUCUUGGCCAGGUUUCUCAAUGGCAUCAAGCAGUUCCUAUGCUUAUCAUUGCUCAAAAACAGCGCGUUGUCAGUUAUGUCUAUAUUCCAGCUGCAGUGUUCUAUUUUCACAAGCUUGUUAUCAAAAUUUAGAUCAGGGUUGAAAGCAGAAAUCGGUAUAUUUUUCCCCAUGCUCGUCUUACGCGUUCUUGAGAAUGUUCUCCAGCCUAGUUUCUUGCAGAAAAUGACGGUCCUCAAUCUUUUAGAGAAGAUCUCUCAUGAUUCACAGAUUAUCAUUGACAUUUUUGUCAACUAUGACUGUGAUGUGGAUUCUCCAAACAUUUUCGAAAGGUAUUGCACUUGUCUGUUGCAAUUCUUACUUGCAUACCGAGAUGCUAUUAGAACAAAGAAUUUCUUUCGGUAGCUAAUUGUUGGUUUUGCGGUAAGUAACACGUUGUAGUUUGCCUCGCAUAUAUGACAACCUUUGGAGAGAGUUAAAUUCUUAUUAGGUGACACAAUCUUUUGUUUCGUAAGUGCUCUCAUGACCUAGAUUGCAUAAUUGGGGUGCUUUUGUUUCAAAUGAAACCGAGACUUUCAGAGGUUGAGAGCAUGUUGGGAUUCUUUCUGAGAGAUAGUCUGAAACCUUAGUUGAAAUUGCGAAAUGGUUAUUAUAUGCGUAUUUCACCUUUUGUAAAUGUCAUUCCUUUUAUGCAUUGUGGCUUUUUGUAAAAUGUAUUAAAACCCUUAUAAAUCCAUCAGAUGUUUGCAGGAUUGUCAACGGCCUUCUGAAAACUGCUCUAGGUCCGCCUUCUGGUUCGACAACAACAUUAUCUCCAGUUCAGGAUAUUACUUUUCGGCAUGAAUCAGUGAAGUGCCUGGUUAACAUCAUUAAGUCAAUGGGAGCUUGGAUGGACCGACAGAGACUGGGAGACUCCUAUCUUCCAAAGACCAAUGAGAGUGACACUCCAUCAGAGAAAACAGAGAAUCAAUUGACCCUCAAUGGUGAAGAAGGAAUUGUUUCAGAAAAUGAUGUACAACCAGAAGGAAAUUCAGAUGCUGUAACACUCGAGCAACGCCGAGCUUUUAAACUUGAACUGCAGGUUGAGAUCUGCUUUAUUUGUGUGGGGCAUAUAUUUUCAGUGUUAUAUUCCCUUCAUUUACAGUUGGAAAUACUGUAUAUGCAAGAGUAUCCCAUCAGUUGAAUGUUAUUUGGGAUAAAUCAGUUUCCCUUCCAUCUUGUGUUUUAUGCUUAUUUGUUCUUUCCAGGAAAGCCUAAUAAGCCUGGCUCUCCCUUUAAUGACAAUAAUUCUGUUUUCAAUGCAGAAAGGUAUCUCACUGUUCAAUAGGAAACCUUCCAAGGGCAUUGAGUUUCUGAUAAGUACCAAAAAAAUUGGGGGUUCUCCAGCAGAUGUGGCUUCUUUUCUGAGAAACAACACUACGGGCCUAAAUGAAACCAUGAUCGGUGACUAUUUGGGUGAAAGAGAAGAAUUUCCUCUGAAAGUUAUGCAUGCUUAUGUAGAUUCCUUUAAUUUUAAAGGGAUGGAUUUUGGUGAAGCAAUUAGGUUUUUCCUGCGGGGAUUCAAGUUGCCUGGAGAAGCACAGAAAAUUGACCGAAUCAUGGAGAAGUUCGCUGAGCGCUAUUGUAAAUGCAGUCCAAAUUCAUUUACUAGUGCAGAUACUGCUUAUGUCCUUGCAUACUCUGUGAUAAUGCUCAACACGGAUGCCCAUAAUAGCAUGGUUAAAGAUAAGGUUCGUAGCAUAACCUGUACCUUUUGGGUCAUGCUAUGUCAUUUAUUUUCAUAUGAAAGAACUUGGAUUGAAUGUUCAGAUAUUUUGUUUCCUCAUUAUCAUCGUCUUGUAUUGGUUGUUGUUUCCCAAGAUGUGGUUUAUGUUGUGAAGUUAUAUAUCAAGAGGUUCUCAUUCUUGUAGUCAUCAAGUGGUCAAAUCCAUUUCUUCAUGGUAACAUCAUUAAUCUAUGUUCCAUCCUUUUUUUUUGGAGAUAAGAUAUUAUUCCAUCAACCUUUUAUUAUCCAGAAAUUUUUUUCGGUUUGUUUUUCUGUUCUUUUUUUCUUUUUCCUUUUUCUUUUCUUUUUUGUUUUUUGGUGGAGGGUUGAGGUGAUUGAGGGAUACUACCGACUCUACUUGUACAAAUUUUAAAUGUCAUUCUGUAAUGGAUAAAUGAAAGCGAUUAGAACUGCUUGUAUCUUAUUUUUGUUAUAUAUUUUGCGCUUUAGAACUUAUCUUCUACGCUAUAUACUUCGGGUUUGAGGUUUUCGGGGGGUGGGGGAGCUGGUGAUUUGUGGGAGAGGAUUCAAUUCUUAGCUUCAUUAUGGCCUUCAAAGUUCCAGAGUUUAGGGUUAGUGAUUUUUUAAUUUUUUUUAUUUUUGCUAAUUUAGAUGGAGGAGCUAUUGUUUCCUAGUUUGCUGUUAUCUAUGUUUCUUGUUGGUUGCUUGAUUUUCGGCUAAAAUAUUUGAAGUUCAGUUGAUUCACUAAUCCCGAUUGUUUUCUCUUAGAGAAUUCAAUUUCCUAUAUAGAAAAAGAAUCUGUGUGCUGAUACAGUAUUGGCUGAUUAUUCAGAUGACCAAGGCUGAUUUUAUACGCAACAAUCGAGGAAUAGAUGAUGGCAAAGAUCUACCUGAGGAAUAUCUUGGUGCUCUAUAUGAUCAGAUUGUAAAAAAUGAAAUUAAGAUGAAGGCCGACUCUUCUGUACCACAGAGCAAGCAAGAAAACAGCUUUAACAAAUUACUGGGCCUGGAUGGUAUCCUGAAUCUAGUAACCGGGAAGCAGACUGAAGAAAAAGCGUUGGGUGCAAACGGGCUUCUUAUAAAGGACAUCCAAGAGCAAUUUAAGGCGAAGUCAGGGAAAUCAGAGUAAGCUAAGAUAAAAGUUAUAAGAGAUAACUGUUUUAACUAUAUUCAUGGACUACAAAAUUUUUCCCAUCGGUGUUUGACCUAUUUCUAGACUAGUAGACUGAUCAAGCUUGCAAAAGUGAGAAAGUUCAGUACUGGUUUAGCUAUAUGAUUAUAUCUGAUAAUAUUUAAUGAUAUUUGUUUUUGCUGAAUCUGUACCUUUCUAAUUUCCUUUAUUGGAAAAAACUAUUGUGAGACAGCUUCUUCUUUUGUUCAUGUAAGCUGGGUUGCAAUUCAACUUUUUUUUUUUUACUUUGUCUCUUACCAAGGAACAUGAUAGUGGUAGGUUGAAACUCAGUAGUAAAUGUUCACAUCUCAUAAAUCUGUCUUUCAUAAUGGUAAUUAAAGUAAUUAAUCCCAGUCAAGCCUAUGGCUUUGCUGAUUUGGUUUGAGAGCUGAGAUUAGAGAUAAGAGAUGAAUUGGGACAGCUUUUGUCUGUCUAUUAUGAGUCUUGUAAUAUUCGGGAAUUCACUAGUGCUUGGUACUGCAGGUCUGUUUAUCAUUCUGUGACAGAUGUGGCGAUAUUGAGGUUUAUGGUGGAGGUCUGCUGGGGUCCUAUGCUGGCCGCAUUCAGUGUGACUCUUGACCAAAGUGAUGACAGGCUUGCUACCUCUCAAUGCUUACAUGGUUUUCGAUAUGCCAUUCAUGUUACUGCUCUGAUGGGAAUGCAGACCCAGAGAGAUGCAUUUGUCACAUCAAUGGCAAAGUUUACUUAUCUACAUAAUGCUGCAGAUAUGAGGCAAAAAAAUGUGGACGCUGUGAAGGUAAGUAUAUUGUGUAGUAUAUCAUAUUGUACUUGUAUUAUCUAUAAUCUUUUGCAGAUAUGGAUUUUCUUGGAAAAUUAUGUUAUUUGUAUUUUUUUUUUAUACUCUGUAAGAUAUUAUGAGUGCUCAGAUCGUUCCAGAUGGAAUAUACCAUUAAUUCUUAUUUAUUAGUUCAGUUCAUGUUAAAUGUAUACUCUCAGUUAGUCUCACCGGAUUGUCACUUUGUACAUCAGUUUUACCUAAUUAUUUGCUUAUGCAGGCAAUAAUAACAAUUGCCAUCGAAGAUGGUAAUCAUCUUCAGGAAGCAUGGGAGCACAUAUUAACAUGCCUUUCACGAAUUGAGCAUCUGCAAUUGUUGGGUGAGGGCGCACCUACUGAUGCAACCUUUUUCAGUGGAUCUAAUAAUGAAUUGGAUGACAAAUCACCAAGGCCUAUUGGUUUUGCUUCUCUAAAGAAAAAAGGAACUAUCCAGAAUCCAGCUGUGAUGGCUGUUGUUCGUGGGGGUUCAUAUGAUAGCACUAGUAUUGGAAUCAACACUUCGGGACUGGUAUCUCCAGAACAGAUUAAUAACUUCAUUUCAAAUUUGAAUUUGCUGGAUCAGAUUGGAAACUUUGAGUUGAACCAUGUAUUUGCUCAUAGCCAAAGCUUGAACAGUGAAGCCAUAGUUGCUUUUGUGAAGUCCUUGUGCAAAGUUUCCAUGUCAGAAUUGCAGUCUCCAACAGACCCUCGUGUUUUCAGCCUCACAAAAAUAGUCGAAAUAGCGUAAGAUCUAUCUCCAUUUCUGAUAAACUUCUGCUGCAAAUGAUAGUUCAUCUCGUGUUCUUCUAUGAGUCAAAUUCAACAAAUUUCUAAGAUCUUCUAUUUGAGUAGUUUCAUGCAGUUGAUACACCAGUGGUGUUUUUGACAGAGUUGAUACACCAGUCUCUCUCUCUCUCUCUCUCUCCCUCCCCCCCCCCCAAGCCAUUUUUGCCUUAUUUUUGUGAUAAUGUAUUGUGCAACUUGAUCCUGAAUACAGAUGUUGGCCGGCCUUUGCUAAUCAAAGCUGAAUAUUUGUAUUUGCAGGCAUUACAAUAUGAAUCGUAUCAGAUUAGUGUGGUCUCGAAUAUGGAAUGUACUGUCAGAUUUUUUUGUAUCAGUUGGCUUAUCAGAGAAUCUUUCAGUUGCAAUAUUUGUGAUGGAUUCAUUGCGUCAGCUUGCUAUGAAAUUCUUAGAGCGUGAGGAGCUGGCAAAUUACAAUUUCCAGAAUGAAUUUUUGAGACCAUUUGUGAUUGUUAUGCAGAAAAGCAGCUCUACCGAGAUUAGGGAAUUAAUAGUUCGGUGCAUUUCACAGAUGGUCCUCAGCCGGGUCAAAAAUGUGAAAUCUGGCUGGAAAAGUGUUUUUAUGGUAUGUUGAAUCUCAUAUAAAUGCUUAACUUUGCUACAUUUUAAACUCAAUUUGUAUGAACAUUCUCUUAAAAAAUUUCACCGGCAAACUAUCAAAUUCUAGAAUUUUAGCAUUAGUAACGUUGUAGUAUUUUUAUGCUUUGUUGUUAUUGUUUCUAUAUGUCAACUCAAGCUUCAGUAUAUUUUCUACGCUGCUUGUUAACUUUUAUCUAGUUAUAAAACUUUGAUCAUGGAACAUGGCGUGUCAUCGUUGUCUGGUGUAUUAUGAUAAUUAUUUAGUUACAUAAUCAGUUGAUUGUUUAAAGUUGUUUUAUCUUUUUAUUUUUUUUGGGUUCUAGUAAAGGUGAACAAGGCAUACCAGUCUGCUGGUAUUACCGUUGUUAAAUAACUAAGAAGCUUACAACUUCCCCCUUUUGUAAAAUGCAUCGACUAUAAUGUGAUGUUCCGUUGUCAGGUUUUCACAACUGCUGCCGCUGAUGAGAGGAAAAAUAUAGUCUUAUUGGCUUUUGAGACCAUGGAAAAGAUAGUCAGAGAAUAUUUCCCUUAUAUUACGGAGACAGAGGCAUUGACUUUUACUGAUUGCGUUAAAUGCCUCCUGACCUUCACAAAUAGCAGAUUCAAUAGUGAUGUUAGCCUCAAUGCUAUUGCAUUUCUGCGUUUCUGUGCUGUCAAACUUGCCGAAGGAGGCCUUGUUUACAAUAAGAACAGUGAAGUUGAUGGUUCUUCAAUUCCUAACGCAAAUGAAGGUGCUUCAACUGUUGAGGAUUUCAAUGAUAAAGAUGAUCAUACAUCUUUUUGGGUGCCAUUGCUAACAGGUAUCUUUUACAGCUGCUUCUCUACAACUUCUUUGCAUUUUAGAUUGCAAAAGUACAGAUGCACGUGCAGGCCCCUGCAGGCACAUACUACUUUGCCACUUGACCUACCCAAGCUCCAGCUAGCUUUUAAGCGAUAUGCAUAAAACAAUUACAAUACAAAAUGUUGGGAGGGAAUUUGCAUUGAAGAUCUCUUUUAGAUGAUAGGUUUGACUACUAAGUACUUAAAGGAUUAUGACUCAAUAAUAUCAUGAUCUUCAAAUUUUAUGAAAAAAAAAAAAUUGUUUCAGCUCUUUCAUACAUUGAUAUUCUGUACUGUUGCAGGUUUGUCAAAACUAACAAAUGAUCCUAGAUCAGCUAUCAGGAAGGGAUCCUUGGAAGUUCUUUUCAACAUUUUAAAGGACCAUGGUCAUCUUUUCUCAAACCUGUUUUGGACUGCGGUUUUCAAUUCUGUUAUUUUCCCCAUUUUUAAAGGUGCCAGCGAUAAGAAAGACACUGACAUGAAAAAUGGCCAGUCCUCGCCAGUGUCAAUGUCCCCACGUCCUGAGGGAAGUACAUGGGAUUCUGAAACUUCGGCUGUUGCGACGGAUUGUCUCAUAGAUUUGUUUGUCAGUUUCUUUGAUGUUGUUAGGCCUCAACUACCAAGUGUGAUAUCCAUUCUGACAGGACUAAUCAGAAGUCCUGUUCAGGGUCCUGCUACCGCAGGAGUUGGUGCAUUAGUGCGUUUGUCCAGUGAGGUGGGUAGCAGGUUUUCAGAAGAUGAAUGGAAUGCAAUUUUUCUGGGUUUAAAGGAGGCUGCCACAUCUGCUGUGCCUGGAUUUUUGAAGGUCUUGAGAACCAUGGACAAUAUCAAUGUUCCUGGUCUUUCUGAUUCUUAUAGUGAUAUCGAUAUGUCGUCUGAUCAGGGGUACUCAAAUGAGGAUCUUGAGGAUGAUAAUUUGCAAACAGCUUCAUACGUGGUGUUAAGAGUGAAGAGUCAUGUUGCUAUGCAGCUACUCAUCUUACAGGUUUCUCCCCUCGUAUUUAUGUACAUUUUACUUAGUUGUUAAUACAUAUGUUGCCUAUUUUUUUGUGGAAAUUCUUAUAAUGAAGGCAACAAGAUUUGAUAUGGUUUUAAAUUGUGAGUAUGAUACCAAAUAUGAACAGCUAGCUGACCCCUAGUAUAUGCUUUAGACUUGAUAUUACUAGUAUUCCCUUCCAUCAUAUUUGAAAAAUACGGCGAUUAAGUAGAUAAAGUUAGAUAGUGAACUAUAUUUCUGUGGUGUUUUUACUUGAAAACACAACUGUGCCUCUAAUGUGAUUUUGUUUUUCAAAAUUACACCAUUUCAUUUUCUCGUCUUCUAUCUUUUUCAGGUUGCUGCUGAUUUGUACAAAAUACACCUAGAAACCUUCUCAGCUGCUAACAUGACAGUUCUUCUUGAAGUAUUUUCUCUUGUGUCAUCACAUGCUCAUGAACUGAACUCUGAGACAAUUCUACAGAAGAAGCUGGAAAAAGUGUGUUCCAUCCUAGAACUUACUGCACCACCUAUUGUUCAUUUUGAGAAUGAAUCUUACAAAAACUUUCUCAACUUCCUCCAAAACUCACUUGUGGAUAAUCCGUCUCUUUCCAAGAAAAUGAACAUAGAAGCUAAACUCGUGGCAGUGUGUGAAGACAUAUUGCAGAUAUACCUAAAAUGUACUGAGCUUCAAUCUUCUGAACAGAAGCCAGUUUUGCACUGGAUUCUUCCUUUGGGUACAGCAAAGAAGGAGGAAUUGGCUACCAGGACUUUCUUAGCCGUCUCAGCAUUGCAGGCAUUGAGUGGUUUGGAAAAGGCCUCAUUUAGGAGGCACGUUUCUCAGUUAUUUCCUUUGUUGGUAGAUCUUGUGAAGAGUGAGCACACUUCUGGAGAAGUUCAACAUGUUCUAAGCAACAUAUUCCAGUCAUGUAUAGGCCCAAUAAUAAUGGAAUGACUUUAUAUGACCAAUUUUAUUAGUGAUAUACUUCACAUACCAUUACAGAGUCGCAAUCUUCGUUUCCACCUGGCUGGAGUAUAUAGCCAAAUCAUCCAUUUCUAUUUAGAAUUUUGUAGUAUAUACCAAGGCUGGGUUUUCCACAUCUCCUUUUCACCUGUCUAUUGAAGAAUGUGUGAUCUGAUAUGCUAGUAAUAUCUCUAUAUCCCAGCAUAUCUAUAUCUAUACACUCACAGAGUACCUGUAGUUGGUUUUGUGCGGACAGUUAUGAAAUGAAAUAUCAGCAUUUGAUUAUGGAUGUUAGCAUAGUGCCUUGAUCGUUCUUGUUCUUGUGUUCAUUUAUAUUUGCAGAUUAUCUCAUUAACUGAAUGAAAGAUAUUUAGUCUCCAUAAUCGUAGUUACUUGAAAGUGAGAAAUCAUGGAUAGCGAUGUACAUUCCACAAAAGGCUUGCAAACUGCUGUGCUUGAAAGAAAUCACAACACAUAGAUCUUGCAGAAAAUUUACAAAGAAAAAGACAUUAAAGAAUCCAGGGACCUAAAAGGAAGCUUUGCCUUGAAAUCAUCUACUCUCAAGGCAUCUAAACCUCGGCGUCCUGAAGCUCUUAUGCGGAAGAAACAGUUGUCACAUCUUUACUAGAUCUGUUGUACUUCAUGUGGCUCUUAACAAGUUGUCCAGCAGCAAUAGCAGACAUGAGAGAAAGCUCUCCAGCAAGAACUGAACCAGCUACUACAGUGGCCAAUUGCCUUGCGUUUGAUCCUGGUGCCUCUCUGUUGGCACCCUUCACUCCAAGCAAGUUCAGGCAAGCGGACUGCGAUGCAAGUUGGGUACCUCCUCCUACUGUGCCGACCUCAAUAGAAGGCAUGGUUACUGAGACAUGAAGAUCAUUGCCAUCAUUGAUGGCUUCCAUCAUGGUGAGACAGUGAGAACUCUCGAUGUUCUGAGCAGGGUCUUGACCAGUGGCAAGGUAGACUGCUGAAACAAUGUUGCUUGCAUGCGCAUUGAAACCGCCAAGAGCACCAGCAAUAGCGGAACCAGUGAGGUUCUUGAGCAUGUUAAGCUCCACCAAGGCCGCCACUUUGGUUUUCAACACCUUUGUCACUAUGUCUCCCUUGAUCACGGCCUCACAGACUACUGACUUUCCACGGCCUUCGAUCCAGUUGACAGCAGCAGGUUUCUUGUCAGAGCAGUAGUUACCAGAGAUGCCAAUGACAUCCAUGUCAGGGAAGUCAUUUUGGAGGAAAUCCAGAACGUUUUGAACACCUUUAGAGACCAUGUUCAUCCCCAUAGCAUCACCUGUGCUGCAGCAGAAUCUCAUGUACAGGUUCUUCCCAGCAACGGCGCACUGGACAGACUGAAGUCUACCGAAUCUGCUGGAUUUGUUGAAAACCAUAGAUAUGGUUUCAUAAUUCUCGGGGUCUUCCAUGUAGAACUUCAACUCAGCAGCUCUCCUAGCCGAGUUGAACCUCACAACAGGUGCUCUGGUCAUUCCAUCCUUCAAAAGCACACUGCUAGCUCCACCGGACAGGUUAAUAGCUUUGCAGCCACGGUUGGUACUAGCCACCAAGCAGCCUUCAGUUGUGGCCAUGGGGAUUGAGAACUCUCUUCCAUCAAGCAUAAGAGGCCCAGCAAUCCCCACAGGAAUGGUGACAUACCCCACCGGCAUUUCACAGCAUUGACCCAAAAUCGACUCGUAAUCGAAACCCUCCAAUGGCAAACCCUCAAGAGACUUGCCUGUAAUUCUCUGCAGAGCCUCACGCCGAAUAGAAGCAGCCCUCUUGCAAUCUCCUAGCUUUGACUCGAGUGAGUACGAGGGAAUGGUUCCGGCAACGACAGCCUUGAUGAUCUCCUCAUCUUCUGCGGUCGGUGGUGGCGUCUCCAUCGCUGGGUUUUCAACAAUGGCCUUCUGGGCAGGUUUAGGUGAAGCAAUUCCGGCAAUCUGGGGACGUGGGCACUCGAGGGCUUGGCCGCAAGGGACUAUAUGAGCGUCCUCCUGGACAAUAAUGUCUUCUUCCUCGUCCUUGAGACUCGGGGUCUGAACGAAAUCGAUGCCGAAGAAGCCGAGGAGGUAGACGAAGGAAGCAACCAAGACAAGAAUGGAGACGAUCUCAGAGAGGUUGAGCACAUGUAACGGCGUGUGGGAACGGAUCUUCUCACGCCAGCUGGUGAGCAAGAAGUAGGCGACGGAGAAGAAGAGGGUGAAGAACACGGCAUUGGUGAGGUACAGAGGCAAAGGCAAGGCGUCUGAGGCCUUGACGACUUUGGCUUCUCCAUUUUCAGCGAACUUGACUUCCAUCUUCAUGGGUUUGCGGGUUUGCUCCAUCUCAAUGCGCCGGGAUCGGAAAUGGAGGAGUGAAGCGGCGGCAGGGUUUGUUUGAGAUCGAAGAAUGGUGUGGAAGUGUUUUGGGUAGAAUUUAAUCAAUUUAUAGAGCAAGGUCAGGGUUAGAGUUAUUUGGGUCGACCGCGUUUGAAACUGUACAUGGGACCAAAUAGUCAAAAGAAAAAGUCCAUUGUUUAUUGGGCAGAGCUACUUCGUGUCUUCGUGGAUUUUUCUUUUCUUUUACAUUCCACCAUGUGAUAUGUCUGGUCCUUUCCUUCUCUUCACCUCUGUGGCUCUGUCUUUGUAUAUUUGUGGCAGUGGUGGUUAUAGCGGCCAGCCUAGGCUUCCUUUGUUUGUAGUGGAAGCCAGCUUAUGCUAUGGGGUAGAGGGGUCCUAUGUUUUUUCAGAGAAUAUGCUAGUCCCUAAUGUUUGCAUUAUCCAAUCGGGACGGUUAUCAACGGGUUGGAUUGAGCUGUGUUUAUAAUUUGUUUGAACAACACAUGAUUAAACAAAACUAGCAUAACUGAAAAAUAAUGGAACUAUAAAACAAACCAUCGUGACAUACCAUAUCCCAGAUGAUCCAAAUGGAGCGUUAUGAAAAAAAAAUGGGAAGAAAAAACUAUUAGCAUAUGGUUCCAAAAAUUCAAACUCUGAACAUUUUACCGGCAAAGAAUAACUUAGAACUUGUAUUAAAAAUAAAAACUUAGAACUUGAUUUUUAUAUUUGAUCUUUCUUCAACAGAGAGAAGGCAUAUAAGCUCGUAUUAUAACCAAUGAAAUGAGUACAAUCAUAGCUUAGAAUCAAGCCAACUAGCUUGCCCUGUAUAUGGAUUUAGAAGGUUCACUAGCUACCUUUGUGCGCCACUACGUUUGCAACUCGAGGUGUGAAGGAGAAAGAUACAUUCUCAUGUCAUCUAGGAAUUUUCCAUGUUCGAGAUUAAGGUAAUCUAGUUUGGAUUAUGCAGUUUCGAAAAUCAUUUGUUUUCAGCCACGAUGGGAUUCUAGUUCAACUUGCUUUGCAGAAGUAAUACAUGAUAGAUGGUCCUUGACUAUCUCGGAGGAUACCUCCCACACCUCCCUCUGAAUCAUCAGGCGUGUAUGACUAACUGCAUUUUUUUUUUGUCAAAAACAAAAGAUGGAUGUAACAUGAGACAUUCCCAAGAAGUCACCCAUCUUGUACUACUCACCUAAGCAAUCUUAACUUCAUAAUUCUAAUGGGAUAUGAUGCAUUAUUACUGGUAUAAUCAUAUCCAUUACCUUGUGUUGAGAUACAAAUCUCACGACGGAAACAUAAGAUAUUGCCUGUGAGUUUACGAGGGUUUGAGUCACUUCCAUCCAUAUUGGUUUUGGAUGUGAACCCAAGACUACUUUAUCGUGUUAUUAGAGCGGGUUACCCACGUCCAUAAGUGAAUGUGUAAUGGCCACAUGGACUCUACGUCACCAAAAAGUAGUUCACAUGUAUGGCUUGAAAAUUCGUUACACAUGUUGGGAGAGGGGGGAGGGGCAUGUUGAGAUAUAAAUCCCACAUCGGGAUAAUAAAAUCUUUCCUGUGAAUUUAUAAGAGUUUGGGUCACUUCAUCUAUUAUCAAUUGGUUUUAGAUGUAAACUCCAUACUACUUCAUCACCUUGGCUUCUUGGAGCACCCUCAAACUGGAUGCGCGGAGUCGCUGGUUAUGGAGAUAAUCAGGGAUGGACUGGAGGCCAAUCCCACCAUUGGGGCGACCCAGCCUCAACUUCUACUGGUCUGGGUUUAGGGCUACCUUCAAUCCAAAACUUGUUUGCUCAUCACAUGGAUCAUGUUAAUCUUGGUUUCGAGCUCGAGUAAGCUCUGAAGACUGCGAAUGGCGUUCUACCUCUAGGUAAGAAGAAUAAGAAGAAAACUUGGCACCUAAGAAACUGCAAAUUGUUUGGAUACCAGAAAGUAGAAGAAGCAGCAACUUAAACCUAUGUUGUAGAACUUGGUAGCUGAGGAGUUAGUUGAUGGUUCAUCUUCUGAGGUGAUGAUGCUAGAGACACACUGGUAGUGCUUCUGAGUAGAAUUCUCGCAUGUCACUUGAUAAGUUAAGGAAAGUGCUCGAGUCUGUUCCAAUUCCUUGGUUUUCUUUGUUUUCAUUACGUAUUAGUUGCAUGUUUUGUUGGCUAUCUAUUGCUUAUGUUGGUUUUAGACCGUUUAGAGCUUCAUACAUAUGACUCAAUUUAGUGGCAGCCCUCUUAAAAUGAGCUAUUUGUAUGUAACCUAUGCAAUUUUAGUAGAUUGACACCCAAUAAAAAAAAGAAGAAGAAAAAUAUAUGAUAUAGCCAUAAAAAGAAUGCUUGAUGUCACAUCCCGGUUCUUAAGUCAAUUUGUAGUUAUUUACUAUUGGGUUACUUUGACUUUUUACCGUUUUAAGUAACCGUUUACUAUUUAAGACUCCAAAAGUUGACUUUUUCUUUCGUUUGGAAUUUGGGAAAACUUCCUUCAUGAAAGUCGUAGAGGACGUUAAACAGAGUUUGGGGACAUGCGGCACGCUUAAAACGGUGUUCGUAUGAAGAAGUUAUGGUCUAAUAACGAAAGUUUCUAUGUUGGUAAAAUGAGGUAAAUUCUAGUAGGCUUUAUUUGUUGUGGGUUUUAAGUUGGACCGGGUAGGAUUUGGAGAGCCCAAACCCCAUUCUCUCUCCCUUCUCUCUCCUUUCUCUCCUGAACUCUUCCCGACCCGCCGGAUAACCCAAUCCCGUCCGUCGCCGUCCGGCCGCCGCAGACCGCCGCACCGGUCCCGAACGGUCGGCCGUCGACCCAGCUCUCUUCUUGGACCGGUGGGAGACGCCCUAGUGCCGCCGUGAGGGAGAGAGAGCNNNNNNNNNNNNNNNNNNNNNNNNNNNNNNNNNNNNNNNNNNNNNNNNNNNNNNNNNNNNNNNNNNNNNNNNNNNNNNNNNNNNNNNNNNNNNNNNNNNNNNNNNNNNNNNNNNNNNNNNNNNNNNNNNNNNNNNNNNNNNNNNNNNNNNNNNNNNNNNNNNNNNNNNNNNNNNNNNNNNNNNNNNNNNNNNNNNNNNNNNNNNNNNNNNNNNNNNNNNNNNNNNNNNNNNNNNNNNNNNNNNNNNNNNNNNNNNNNNNNNNNNNNNNNNNNNNNNNNNNNNNNNNNNNNNNNNNNNNNNNNNNNNNNNNNNNNNNNNNNNNNNNNNNNNNNNNNNNNNNNNNNNNNNNNNNNNNNNNNNNNNNNNNNNNNNNNNNNNNNNNNNNNNNNNNNNNNNNNNNNNNNNNNNNNNNNNNNNNNNNNNNNNNNNNNNNNNNNNNNNNNNNNNNNNNNNNNNNNNNNNNNNNNNNNNNNNNNNNNNNNNNNNNNNNNNNNNNNNNNNNNNNNNNNNNNNNNNNNNNNNNNNNNNNNNNNNNNNNNNNNNNNNNNNNNNNNNNNNNNNNNNNNNNNNNNNNNNNNNNNNNNNNNNNNNNNNNNNNNNNNNNNNNNNNNNNNNNNNNNNNNNNNNNNNNNNNNNNNNNNNNNNNNNNNNNNNNNNNNNNNNNNNNNNNNNNNNNNNNNNNNNNNNNNNNNNNNNNNNNNNNNNNNNNNNNNNNNNNNNNNNNNNNNNNNNNNNNNNNNNNNNNNNNNNNNNNNNNNNNNNNNNNNNNNNNNNNNNNNNNNNNNNNNNNNNNNNNNNNNNNNNNNNNNNNNNNNNNNNNNNNNNNNNNNNNNNNNNNNNNNNNNNNNNNNNNNNNNNNNNNNNNNNNNNNNNNNNNNNNNNNNNNNNNNNNNNNNNNNNNNNNNNNNNNNNNNNNNNNNNNNNNNNNNNNNNNNNNNNNNNNNNNNNNNNNNNNNNNNNNNNNNNNNNNNNNNNNNNNNNNNNNNNNNNNNNNNNNNNNNNNNNNNNNNNNNNNNNNNNNNNAUAUUAUCUGGUUUUUGAAAGAUGAUAAUCAUUGAAGUUAUUUAUUUCAUUGAGCAUUUUAACGUGUGGGACACGUCGUUGAAUUUAAUUAGUUUCUUUGCUCUUUGAAUUCUUUGAGUACGGUUGGGAAUCGUACUUAUGCUUUAAUUAUGAGUUUCGGGGAAACUCACAUGGAUUAUGUUUCUUUAUUUAUGCCAUACUUGUUGGAUCGUUAUUAUUCAUGCUAGCAUGUCGUUCCGCCUUUCGAGGCGAUGUAACUUCCACGUUUUAAGUGGGGUUACUCAAGCCCUUUCCGCCUUUGGGUGAUGUGAUGUAGUCGACGACAUCACGCAAGCCCUACUCCUCUCUGUUAUCAUAACCUGAAGGUGUAGGGAGUAUGUGAGUAUUAUUGCCUGGGAGGCAACCGAGUCUGGGAGGCUCACUUGUAUGGCUAUAUCUGUUUCUUAUUUAUUGUUGUUGAUUUGACUAGCGGGGCUAGUCCCUUGUUUUGGUACCUUCUUCUAUGAAGGUUAUUAUUUAUCUUUGUCAUUAAUUUGACUAGCGGGGCUAGUCCGUCUUCUUGGGAUUUUCUUUAUGAAAGAUUUUUGUUACCAUUUGCAUGCAACGAAUUUAUGGCAUAUUGGAAAGUGGGAAAGUAUUUCAAUUUUGGUUUCUUAUCUUAUGUUUAUUUUCGUCCACUCACUCUAACGUUUUUAAAUUACUUUCCCCUGGGCCCUUUGGUUUUAAAUGCCCAGAUUGCAGGCUCAGUCUAAGUGAGGUUGAGCGUACAUGGAGUCGAGGCAUAGUCAGAGGCUGCUUCUACUUAUUCUUUAUUCAUUGUUUUACAUUUAACUCUAGAUAUGCUCUGAUAAUCAGUUAGUGAAUUAAUGUUGGUUAUUGUUGGUUGUGGGUUUAGUUUAGUUGAGUAAUUGUUAUAUUGGGAGAUGUGUUGAGCUUGGGGAGCAGGAAGGCUCCAGAUGUUGAGGAUGGAUGUUUGGUUAUAGAAGUGUUAAGUUUGAUUUUUCAGGUAAGGGUUGUCCAUUUUUAAGGAAGGUUAUGCCGAAUUUUCGGUAAAUUUUCCUUGAAGGUGGACCCCGCAGGAUUUACCUCGGGUUUCAGGGUGAAAUUCGGGGUGGGUCCUGUCACUUGAUAUUCUUGAUCCUUACCUAGACAACUGAUAGAAAUUAUUCUUGUUUAACUCUCGAUUCUACUUAAUUAGUUGUACAUCAAUUGAGGUCCGCAGUCGAAUAUUAUCACUACAUAAGAAUUAGAUAGAAUUAGUUGAAAAUCUCUUGUAUUAGGUGUAAGAUGAGCGCAUUUACAACGAGGACUCAUGUCAUUUUGUUAUUUCUUACUAACGUUUAGUUUAUUGGUAGUGAGUAUGCAAUCUGAUGUAUACGACUUUUAACCAUAAAUAAGUAAGAAAAUUAUCUAUUGAUUCCAAAAAAAAAAAAAGUAUGCUUGAAUUAAAGACUCAUUUCUUGGUCUAUGACCUCCUCAAACACAAGGGCCUUGAUCAUUUCUAUAUCUUGACUCGAUAAAAAAAAUGUAACUCAAAUCUUUCAAGCUUGAACAGAUAGCUAGCUUCAACAGAUUUGAAAGAUUCAUUAGCAUGUUCUCUUAGAAGAAAUCAACAAUAUAUCCACCACAAGAUAUAUAUCCAAACAAUAUUCUUAUAGUUAUGGGUGGCCAAACAAAGAAUUAAUAAAGAGUCACAUUCACUUAUUUGGCAGACUAAGAAGUCGUGCAAACAAGAUUGGGCAACCACUGAACUCCAGAAGAGAGCAUUGAUACCUACAAGUCAUAUGUAUUAUCUUAUGCUAGUUUAGACUGGAAUCAUAUAUUGAAAGGAUCUCAUAUACUUAAACAAGAACAUUACAGUUCAAUAGCUAGCUCUAACAACACUACAGUAGUAUAUCAUAAUCAUCUAUUAGGUACAAAUAAAUUCUCAUCUAUUUGGAGUGAUUAGAUUCUUUCUAUUAUCAGAAACAUAAUAACAAGUUGGUUGUACCAUGGAACAAAAUAUACAGAUGUGGGCGACCUCAUUAUGCAUUCACAAACAGCUACGCAUGCACUUAUCAACAAAGACUGAUGAUUGUAAAUUCAGCUCAACAGAUAUGAGGGAUGUGAUAUUAGUGAUACCUAUUUGUUUGAUUCAAAUGUAAAUGCACUAAUACUAUCAGUUAGUUAUUCACAUUAAUCCAGUGUACUUCGUCUACAAGGUUAAUAGAAUGCUUCAGCUGGUUUGGGCAAUAUUUGUUAUGAUAUCCAGACCAAAAUAAAUAAAAUAGUAAUGAAAAUAAUAUGAAAGGUUUCAUGAUCGAGUUACAUGAGUUACAUGAGUUACACAAGGGACAUGGAUGGUUUUGGAGUUAUGGUCAAGACAUGAGUUACAUGAAUAUUCAUGAAGCACCAUUUGUUGGGAGAGCACUAAUGAGACGUCUAGAUGGUUCCUCAUUAGCCUAUAAAAGGAGAGGUCAUUCACUCAUUCCAUGCAUCUCAUCCAUCUCAAGCAUCUCUUCCAAGAGAGAAACAUCCAUCUUCCAAGUAGAGAAGAGUGUCCACUCUAAGUUGUGAGUGUAGAGUAGUUGGUAGCAAAACAAGCGUAAGAGAGGGUUUCCUUUAAGUGUUGUUCUCGAAGUUGUGUAUCUCUUGUGUACCCAAUAUUUUUAUAGUGGAAGUUCUUGUUGUUACUGCCCCAUGGACAUAGGCACAUUGCCGAACCACAUUAUAUCGAGUGUUCCCAUUCCUCUACUCUUUUACAUCUUUGCAUAUUUAUUCUUUGUGUAGUUUGAGUUGUUACUUUCAUUAUAUAUAUAUAUAUAUUAUAUUUCCCAACAGUGGUAUAAGUGAGUUGAAAGUUCUUGUUAUAUUUCCCAGUUCGUAGGGCGUGGGUGUUAAAAUGGAAGGGUUCGAGGUUGAAGGCAAGGAGCACAUGGUUUGCAAGUUAAAGAAAAGUUUGUAUGGGCUGAAGCAAGUGUCAAGGCAAUGGCACAAGAAAUUUGACUCAUUCAUGGUGGGUCAUGGAUACAAAAGAAGUGAUGCAUACCCAUGUGUGUACAUUCAGCGAUUCACUGGAGGUAAAUUCAUAAUUUUGUCGCUUUAUGUUGAUGAUAUGUUGAUAGUGGGGCAAAACGUUUCUAUGAUUCGCAAGUUGAAGGCAGAUUUAUAGAUAUGAAAGACUUAGGUCCAGCUAAGAAGAUUUUGGGCAUGGAGAUUACCCGUGACAGGAAGGCAAAUAAAUUAUGGUUGUCACAGGAGAGGUAUGUUGAACGGGUGCUUGAAAGGUUCAACAUGAAAGAAGCAAGUCAGUGAGCUCACCUCUAGAUAAUCACUUCAAGUUAAGCAAAUUCUUAUGCCCAACUACACAACAGGAGAAAGAAAAGAUGACAAGUAUCCCUUACUCAUCAGCUGUAGGUAGUCUUAUGUAUGCCAAGGUAUGCACUCGUCUAGAUAUUGCUCAUGCAAUUGGAGUUGUUAGUAGAUAUUUAUCUAACCUUGACAGAGAGCAUUGAGAAGUUGUUAAGUGGAUACUCAAAUAUUUGAGGGGCACCUCAAAAUUGUGUUUGUCUUUUGGUGGAUCCGAACCCGUUUUAGAGGGUUUCACAUAUGCAGAUUUAGAUGGGGAAUUUGAUCACAGAAAGUCCACUUCUGGGUACUUAUUUACAUUUUGUGAGGGAGCUGUAUCAUGGCAGUCCAAGUUACAGAAGUGUGUUGCUUUAUCCACUAUUGAGUCUGAGUACAUAGCGGCAAACAAAGCAGGCAAGGAAAUGAUAUGACUGCAAAGGUUUAUUCAAGAGUUAGGUGUUAAGCAAGAAAGGUACGAGGUACAUUGUGAUAGUCAGAGUGCUAUUCAAUUGAGUAAAAAUUCAGUUUAUCACUUUCGCACUAAGCACAUUGAUCUACGUUAUCAUUAGAUUCGAGAUGUUGUGUCAAAGAAGCUUUUACAGUUGAGGAAAAUUCACACUAACAAGAACAUUUCUGAUAUGUUGACUAAAGUUGUGCCACAACAGAAGUUGGAAUACUGCAGCAAGUUCGUUGGGAUAGACUUCAAGUAGAAGUCUUGCCACGUAUUUCCCUGGGUUGGUCUGGAGGGGGAGAUUGUUAUGAUAUCUAGACCAAAAUAAAUAAAAUAGUAAUGAAAAUAAUAUGAAAGGUUUCAUGAUCGAGUUACAUAAGUUACAUGAGUUACACAAGGGACAUAAAUGGUUUUGGAGUUAUGGUCAAGACAUGAGUUACAAGAAUAUUCAUGAAGCACCAUUUAUUGGGAGAGCACUAAUGAGAGGUCUAGAUGGAUCCUCCUUAGCCUAUAAAAGGAGAGGUCAUUCCCUCAUUCCAUGCAUCUCAUCCAUCUCUUUCAAGAGAGAUACAUCCAUCUUCCAAGUAGAGAAGAGUGUCCACUCUAAGUUGUGAGUGUAGAGUAGUUAGUAGCAAAACAAGUGUGAGAGAAGGUUUCCUUCAAGUGUUGUUCAAGUGUUGUUCUUGAAGUUGUGUAUCUCUUGUGUACCCAUUAUUCUUAUAGUGGAAGUUAUUAUUGUUGCUGCCCCGUGGACGUAGGCAUAUUGCCGAACCACGUUAUAUCUAGUGUUCCCAUUCCUUUACUCUUUUACAUCUUUGCAUAUUUAUUCUUUGUGUGGUUUGAGUUGUUACUUCCAAUAUAUUAUAUUUCCCAACAAUAUCUUCUAAGAUUUUCUCUUUUCUAAGUACUUACUUGGAUCUCAUAUUUUCUUUUCGUGCACAAAUUGUGCAUUGAAGAAUGAAGAAGGAUAUACAAGGUCUGAAAACAGUUAGAGAACACACAGCAAUAGUGUAAGCAACAGAACUCAGAGCGCCUUCUAUCGCGGUGGUUUACACAAAUUAGUCUUGCACAUCAACCCAGAGGACGCUGGGCGAACACUCAACAGAGAAUUAGGUGUUUAAAGGGCUAGGGUUCUAAGUGCAAGAGCACAAGAGAGACGAGUCUGUUCAUUUUGGUAGCUCGACAUACUGUUAUCCUAUUCAAGCGAGAGCAAAGGAAACAUAAAAGACAUGAGCUAAACAUAUUUUGAGGUUGUAAGAGAGUCAAUUUACUGAAAUGAAUUGUGAUUAUAUUUCUGAAGAACUUUACACAAGGAGCAGUAUACAAAAAAUUCUCAAGUUAGACGGUUUAAAGCUCUCUUAAGCAGAGGCAACAGUUCUAACAUCUUUGUUUGAUCGGUUGUACUUCAUGUGACUCUUGACGAGCUGUCCGGCCGCGAUAGCAGACAUGAGAGAUAGUUCUCCAGCAAGAACAGAACCAGCUACAACACUGGCCAACUGCCUUGCGUUUGAUCCUGGUGCUUCUCUGUUAGCACCCUUUACUCCAAGCAAGUUCAAACAUGCGGACUGCGAUGCAAGCUGUGUACCUCCUCCAACUGUGCCAACCUCAAUGGAAGGCAUGGUCACUGAGACGUGAAGGUCCUUUCCAUCAUUGAUUGCUUCCAUCAUGGUGAUACAAUGAGAACUUUCGAUGUUCUGAGCAGGAUCUUGGCCAGUAGCUAGAUAGACUGCUGAAACAAUGUUACUGGCAUGCGCAUUAAAACCACCAAGAGCACCAGCAACUGCAGAGCCUGUAAGGUUCUUGAGCAUGUUAAGCUCCACCAAGGCUGCCACGUUUGUUUUCAACACCUUCGUGACUAUGUCUCCCUUGAUAACGGCCUCGCAAACCACAGAUUUGCCACGACCUUCGAUCCAGUUAACAGCAGCAGGCUUCUUGUCUGAGCAGUAGUUACCAGAAAUACCAAUGACAUCCAUGUCAGGGAAGUCAUUCUGGAGGAAAUCGAGAACGUUUUGAACACCUUUAGAGACCAUGUUCAUCCCCAUAGCAUCACCUGUGCUGCAGGUGAAUCUCAUGUAAAGGUUCUUCCCCGCAACAGCACACUUGACAGUCUGAAGUCUACCAAAUCUGCUUGAUUUAUUGAAAACCAUGGAAAUGGUUUCGUAAUUGGCAGGGUCUUCCAUGAAAAACUUCAACUCAGCUGCUCUCUUAGCCGAGUUGAAUCUUACAACAGGUGCUCUGGUCAUUCCAUCCUUCAACAGCACACUGGAAGCACCACCAGACAAGUUAAUAGCUUUGCAGCCACGGUUGGUACUAGCCACCAAGCAACCCUCAGUUGUGGCCAUGGGAACUGAGAACUCUCUUCCAUCAAGCAUAAGAGGCCCAGCAAUCCCAACAGGAAUGGUGAUAUACCCAACUGGCAUCUCACAGCAUUGACCCAAAAUGGAUUCAUAAUCAAAGCCCUCCAAAGGUAAACCCUCAAGAGACUUGCCUGUAACUCUCUGUAAAGCCUCGCGCCUAAUAGAAGCUGCCCUCUUGCAAUCACGGAGCUUUGAUUCCAGUGAGUAUGAGGGAAUGGUUCCAGCCACCACAGCCUUGAUGAUCUCUUCGUCCUCUUCAGUUGGUGGUGGGGUCUCGAUCAUUGCCUUCUCUUCAAACACUUUAGGGGCAGCCUUAGGUGAAGCAAUUGGAGCAAUCUUGGGAAUUGAACAAUCAAGGGCCUGGCCGCAAGGGACUUUGCGAGCAUCCUCCUUGAGCAUAAUCUCAUCUUCGUCAUCAUCGGCAGCCCAGAUGUCAUUACUGGGCUGGAGAAAGAGAGACUGAACAAAAUCGAAGCCGAAGAAGCCGAGGAGGUAGAUGAAAGAGGCUACAAGAGCAAGGAUGGCAACAACCUCAGAGAGAUCAAUCAUGUGAAGAGGGGUGUUGGUACGGAUCUUCUCACGCCAGCUGGUGAGCAAGAAGUAGACAACGGAGAAGAAGAGGGUGAAAAACACAGCGUUGGUUAUGUAAAGAGGCAGAGACAUGGCGUCUGAGGGCUUGACGACCUCAUCGUCGACAAACUUGACUUUCAUUUUCAUGGGCUUUCCUCGGUGCUCCAUUUGGAUGUGUGAGAUCGAUGCUAAACAAGCAAGCAGGUGGUGAUCAGAGGAGAGGAGUGAGCUUAAAGGAAAGUGAGGAAGCUAGGCUAGAAGUAUGCGUUGGUUUGAGGGUGUAGUGUUUGGGGUUGCAAUAUAUAGUGCUGCGGGGGUUGGAUGUAGGAAGGUGCCUAGAGGGUGAUCAGUCUAGAGUUGCAGGUACUACUAUAUUUGGGUCAAAGCACGUUUUCAACAUUCAACACACACUCAUAGUCAAAUGAACACACCCCCAAUAAACUAUUGGGUGUCUCCUUCCUCGUUCCUUCUCACUAUCAUAGCACAUUAUUGUUUAUUUAUUUUCUUUCUUCUUCUAACUAAAAUAAAAAUAAAAUAAAAUACUCGAAUAACAACGAACGUAAUGUUAAAUCUUCCAGUAAAGUUAGCCAAUUAGGUUCUUCUUUCAAAAAAUAAAAUAAAAUGCUUGAAGAGCAAUUUUAGAUUUUCACUCUCGCUCAUCACUUUGUUUUACGGAAUCAUUCUCAUUCCGAUAAGGGGAAUAUGUAUUGAUUCUUUAUUCAUGAGUGAAUCAACUUUUGUUUCUAAUUUGACUUGUGAUUCAAAAAACUACCCUCAUGAUUUUGAUCAUCUUUCUUUUUAUAUCUAAGUAUCUGUCUCAAGUUUUUGCAAUUUACUGUAUUACAAUUUUGAUUCUUACAAAUUUGUAAAUACUUGAACGAGAAUCAACUCUUUUUCUAUUCUUGAUUCCGGAUAACAAGUAAACAGAGCAAUAUGACUUAUUCUCUCUCUUUCUCUAUUUCAUAUUCCUUGUCAAUCUCAUAUUCUCAUUCAAGUUUAGUAAACGCACAAUACUAACUAAUCGACCGUAAGCAAAAUGAAGAUCCUAAUCAACUACAAAUGAUGCGUCUACUUUUCUAUUUCUUGAAGCAAAAUAGAAAUAAUAAGUUUGAAAAUCAACAAGGGAGCAUGAUAUAUUUUGAACAGGUUUGAAAGAUUCUUAAGCAUGUGCAUUUGUAGGUGAGCAAUAAUGUGUCAAAGAUAGGAUCAUUGCACCACAAGAUAUAUUAUCCAACAAAUUCUUCAAAUGUGACCAGCCAAAAAAAUACUAGUUUAAGUAACAGUUAUGAUGGGCUCGGAAGUCAAACAAGCAAGCAUGGUCCGCUUUAAGAGUUUAUGAACUUAAGGCCAAGUAGCAUGACAUUUGUAGGUAAUGUUGGAAAAGUGUGGUUUAGAUUAGAACAUUUUGGAAUCUCAUAUCUGAAAAGUGAAAAGUCAUCUUUGGUUUAUAACUAUAAGAAAUGGUACCACACACUAAUGUCGAGGUUUUUUGUGUUAAAAUCUCAUACCCAUUUCACAUCCGGAUGGCUAAACUGGAGAGAGUAUCGACAUUGUUGGACCCGUGUGUGUGAGACCCGUAGGGCCUGUAUGCCGCUUCCGCAUAACAAUUGGUAUCAGAGCCCAGGUGACGCUUAUGACUUAGUGUAUCAUACGUUUGAGUUGCUUGUGAUCGAGGUUGAGCUAUUGAGACUAGGAUCGUGAGAUUUAGAGAUGGCUCGAAUCACGCCAGGUGGAGAUUGUUGAAAAAAUGUGGCUUAGUUUAGAGCCCUCUAGAAUCCCACCUUUAAAAAAAGAUGAACAGUCAUCCUUGGUUUAUAUGGAAUGGUAUCACACACACUAAUGUUGGGUGGCGAGUAUCUACAUUGUUGGACAUGUGUGUGUGAGACCGUGGGGCCAUCGGCCGUUUCAGCAUAACAGGUAAUAUAUAAGUUUCCAUUUUUUUUUUGUUCAAGUAUAUGAAAUGAGUCGUACAUAAGUCUAGUGACAUAAGUCUCAUCUCAUAAGUAAGAGGUCAUGAGUUCGACUCACAAUAGAUUGUUGAAGCAUUUGAAUUGUUUAACUCAUCAACAAAUGAGUGAUACAUUUUAAACAAAUGUUAGAUUGCUCUGCUUGCCCCAAAAGUUUGUCCGCAUUGUCUUUUCUUCCCAAGAAGUUAUGAUAUACAGCUACACAUCAACUCAGGGCAUACAAUAAAACUUCUUUGUCUUAUGGAAUGAUGUAAAUUGUAGUUAUACAUAUAGUUGUAUAAAUCAACCAAACAGAGAAUGAGGUUCUCCAUUUUUGUCUAAAUAAGACUUUGCUAAUAUCUUACAGAUAUGGUAGUUUAUGGUAGUUUUACGUACGUAUUACAAGCACAAGUUCAUAUACAUAUCAUAAUGUAUACCUAGAACAAUAAUAGCUAGGCAAUGCUAUCAUUCAUUCACUGGUAUGUUUAUGCUGUGGGAUAAGAGGCUUCCAUAGCAAUACCACAGAGACCUUCCGGUGCAUCAACAUCUCUUUGCAUUCUUAUGUACCCUUGUUCACCCCAUUCUGCUCCCCAUGAGUUCUUCACCAACCAGUACUUAGUUCCAUCAUCGCCGACUCCAUAACCAACAGCGGUAACACCAUGGUCUAAGCUCGUUCCGCAUGCACCUGUGAAAACACCACUUGAAUAGAAUUGGAAAUCAGAUCCGCUGGCAUCAAUGGCAACAGAGAUCGGUUGAUUAGCGACAGCCUUAAGAAGGGCGCUUUCACUGUUUGCAGGCACAUCUUCGUGGCCGGUUAUCGAGGCUGCAUGGCUUGCUUCCUUUUGAGCAUUGCAUGUACCAUCAACGCCUGUGUAGGGAUAAUUUGCCUCUGUACUAAGUCCAUGGUUUUGAUUGAUGAACUCAAAGGCAUCAUCCAUCAGGCCACCCUCACAGCCUUGGUCUUCACCAUUUACAUCACAGUCAACCAGCUCUUGCUCAGACAGUGAAAUCAAUUUACCAGUUGUGAGUUGAGUAAUUCCUUCCAUGGCUGCCACCGCUGAGAAUGCCCAACAACAACCUGUAGCAAAUUAAUGGAUGUUAAAAAUUUUAAGGAAUUAGUAGAGUAUGAUCUCUAGUACAAAUCAUCUGAAUAGUCAUUACCACAUUGGCCUUGGUCCUUGAUUGGGGUAACCGCUCCUUUCUGUCUCCAGUCCAUUUUUGUUGGCACAGUAGCAUUUUCAUAUUUGAAAGAAGUGGUCUUUGUGGAACACUCAUGACCCUUAAAUCGAUUUCUUGAGGCUGUGAACUCUUCAUUUGUAAGGUCUGCAAAUCCGUUGACACUUAGUUUGUAAGGUUUGUUUGCUUCGUCAUUGGAAGAUUCUAUAAAUGCUACAUUUUCCUUGAAUAUCUUGAAGCGCUUCUCCUUCUCAUCAGUGUCGCUGUAUAUGCGUCCAUAACGAAUCAUCCAUUGCUCGUAUCUCCCAUACAUUAAUGCAUCCUGCAGGCUGCGAGAAGUGGCUUCAGAUGACCAAGCCCCCAAUAUGAGGAUGAGGGCCAAACAGAUAAAUUUGCUCUGGUUGAUGAACUCCAUCACAGGCUAAAAUAUGAUGGAAGUAUAUGUAUAAUGUAUUGAUGAGAAGGUAUACAAUGAAAGGGCCUAAUGCUGAGUUUAUAUAGAGAAAAGGAAUGGCAUUACUUGUUAUCUCCGUGCCCCAAAAGUUGAUCUGCCAUAUUUGUGCCCCAUAAAAUGUCUUGAUACCAACUCAUUUCCUAUCAAUAUCUAAAUUGAUGUGAAGACAAAUUACAAGCCAAAUGAUAUGGUUAUUUGUUCUGUUGUUCAUACAAAAGGCUAGUGUUUUGUUUUACAAGUACUCAGAGGUCAACAAAUCCCAUUGAGGGGGUAAUUAUUAAAUUAUAUCACCCGUAAGCGAUAUUGUUCAAAGGGCCAAGAUGCAAGAUCAGUACAGCCUAAGUGAAGAAGCAAUUAAGUGCUUAAUUUGAUGUCAAAUGGAGAACAAGGUUUAACAUUACAUUUCAUACCAAAUAUUUCAUCUGGUUUUCCUUUAGGGUUGGUCAUGUGCUUGUAAGAGAGGUAUGUGUGAUGAACUUUAUCACUCAACCUCCUCUAUUUAGGUUUGUAACCUUAUUUCUUACCAAGAAAAAUACUAAAAAUGCUCCCGCAAGUUUUGUGUUUAGUUUUUCCACAAAAAGAUUACAUACAAUAUAACACAAAGCAAAUGACCGAAAGAACUCAUUAUCCUGUAUUUAUAGUAACUACGAUUUUUGAUGUUUCUCGUAUUUUCUUCUUUGCAGGCUUAAGAAAACAGGUCGAAAUUAACCUUUUGGCAUAGGUGAACAAGGCAAUUCUCUGAGAUCAAAUGCAAAAACCUAACAAUUCUUGAUAUUUUGGGGUAACUAAUAGCUAGCAUGCUACUAAUUAACGAUCUGGGUGUUCCGUAAAAAUUGACCAACGGAUGUCCUUUAUUGUUUAACAUACACCCCAGGUACUAAUACUAAGCAUGGUCAUCGGUUAUUUGUAAACCAAUUUAUUUUCCUUAUUCACUAUUAGAUCAUCGUUUAUAAUAUAGGCAAAUAAGGGUCAUUCCCGCAGAGGACUAAAUGAAUCUAACUACUCAAAAGAUGUCACAAGAGUGACUUAGCGACCGGUAGUCGAAAACCUAAUUAGUUGACUAACCUAAACAAGUCAGAAAAAUAUAAAAAUUUACAGACACGAACUAGACACACAGACGGACGACCACACAAAAAUUCAGAUGAAUUGGAAUUCGUUUGAUAUGUCAAAUAAAUACUGGAAAACAGAGGACAGAAAGGUGACGAAAACUGGUUUUGGGAAAUAAUGAAAUAAAACUAGCUAGGGAAGAUGCAAUCCACCCUGACAAUCACACACAAGACAAUUUGUUCCAUUAUAGUUCAAUUAAUCUAGAUGAAGAUGCUCAGGUUGGUUCGGUACGCUUGAAACACAACCUAUUACCCUUUCUUACUUCGUAAAUUAGGCAGGAAGUGUUCUACACCUAAACUAUUCUCAAGCAAUGCAACCUAAAGGUACGCUUAUUAGAUUUAACAUGCAGAGAUCAUUACGUUCUAAAAGGUUUUGAGACAUCACAAGGCAUCGCAAUAAACUUAGCGCAUUGUUAAACCUAGGACUUAGUUUACUUGCUAGCGAAAACUAACAAUUGUUUCUCUAGAUAGUUUGAGGAGUCCAAUAUUGACAUUGGCAUCAAACUAUCAAAGCUAUAAAACCCUAACAUGCAUACUAAGCGUGCACUCAAAGCAAGCAUGAAAAGAAUUCAUCAACAUAAAAGUAGUAAACAAAAUCUCAUAUUGAAUUAAAAGAAACUAAAACCAAAACUCAAAUCAUCUUGUUGUUCAUAUCUAGGGCUUCAAGUAGCCUCUAACUAAGAGAAACUAAAUAACAUAAUAACAAGAAAAUGCAGAAUAAUGGGAAGGAGAAGAGGAGAAGAAGAGGAAGAGGAAGAAGUGGGGAAGAAGCCGCCAAAGAUGAUAACACAGGCUUUUAUAUUGCUUCCUUCAACCAAUCCAUCUUGAUUUAGGUUUCAUUGGAUAUUCUGAUUGGUGCUCAUCUGUAGGACCAAUGGAAGUAUGCCAAUUCAUUUAAUUCUUCAUAAUCAGCACCAUAUUGAGAUAAUAAGUUGGAUAAUCCAUGGGCUUCCCGGUGUGAUUUAGGCCUCAAAACACAAAUUCCGGUCAAAUGCCAGAUUCCCGCGCAAAUUGACAUUCUGGUACUAAAUUGGCCAUAACUUCUACUAGGAAAAUGCUAUUCACGAACCAUAAAAUGAUAUGGAAAGCUGACAUCCGUAGAUUUCCCUUGAUAUAAGACUCAUUAUCUGGUUAUUCUCGAGCUGCCCUCAGUGUCCUGUCGAAGUUGUCUGACUUGCCUAAGCAGAUUUCUGAUUUUUGUCUUCCACUCCCUCUUUUCCUUCUUUUCUUCUUAUUUGCUUCAAAAUACCUAGAAAACAAAUAAAAAAGUAAAUAACUAGAAAACAAACCAAACAAACAAAGAAAGGAUAAAGUGUUUAAGGAAAUUAUGUUUCCGUCCUUCUAUUAUGUGUCUUGCCCUAAUACACGUAGGAUUGGUUAAUCUGGUUUCCUUAUUAAAAUAGAUUACAGUUGAUAGAUCUUCUAGAUCCUUCGGGAUACUCUAUGUAAUGCCUAUAAAUAGACUUUUCAAUGAAUGAGUAGAUCAUUAUUCUCGUUAUCUUUUUUCCUUCAACACUCUAACCGGAGCUUGAUAACGGAAACACUAAAAAAAAAAAAAAAAAAACCAAAAAACCCUAGAUUUUUUUUUCUGCUGCCAGGCUUCCUUUCCUUUUUCCGAUCAACCCCCGGCGUCCUUGAGUUGUACCGAAACCGGUAAUAUGCUCUAUGCACCCAGAAAUCCGAUCUCGGCACCCAACUUUACUUCACCGGUUUUGGACCUGCAACUCAACUGAGCCACCCCGAUCCAGCCACCUCCGGCGCUCCUCCCCUCUCCCAGCCAAGCUCGACGUCGACGCAAGCACCGGCGUGCCCAGCCCAACCCUGAUCGAACUCCAGCCGAGCCAUAGCCCCGAGCGGGCCCCGGCGAACCUCCACCCCGGCAGCACCAUCAUCUCGGCAGCAGCCCCGCCGUGAUCGAUCGCACCCGAACAAGCUGGCCACCUCGGAACUCAGCGCGCCUCUCAGACGACCCGAACGAGGCUCAACCCGGAUCUCCAGACCCGGAUCGUUCUCACCCGCUCCGUCUUUCCAAACUGAAUAUACGAGGGGCAAAACGGUAAAUUUGUCCCUCCGGGUAAAAAGUUUUUAUCACUAGUGAAAACAGUUUAUUUUAUUUACAGUAGUAACUAUUUAAUUAGUUUUACUGUUUUUAUAUAUAUAUGGUGAAUAUUACUAACCAUAUGUUUUUAUUUCAUGAAAUUUAUCGCGUGACUGAUCACGAUGUAAUUGCACGAGCAACUUCUCUGCACGCACGUGGAAGUACGUAUGGAAAUUACAAGGGCAACUUCUCUUACACGCAGUUUAUUUGGCAAACUAGCACGUAAGCUUUUAUAAAAGUUGUUGCUUUUGAAUUUUAAUUUCAUAACGGGGCUUAGUAGCCUUCUUCUACCCCCACAUUUCUUAUAACGUGGGACGAUAUUGAGGGAUUGGGACCCCUCAUAUCAAAGUUGAAAUUUGUGACGGUUUGAUAAGUUACGGUAUUUACGACGAAAUAUUGUUAUGGUUAAUCAAGAAACAAACAUUGAUUUGCGACUGAAAUUGUCGCGGUUAACAUCAAUUUGUGACGGAAAUUGUCACGGUUACAUCGAUUUAUGACGGAAUUUGUCACGGUUCACAUCGAAUUGAGUUACCAUAAAUCAUGGUCUUGACCCAAUUACUUGGAAUUAAUUAUCGUAUAUCGAUAAUAGUCAAUCUUCCAUCUUGUUAUUUGAAAUAAUUGACCGAAACAUAAGCCCCAUAUUUGACAUAAAAAAAAAAGUGACGAAAUUUGUGUCAUGCGUUUUGAAAAAGAGGGGGAGGCAACGCCACGAACCCCACAUGUCAUAUAAAGAUUGGGCUAGUAAAAGAAAAAUCAUGUUAUUGAUGUGGUUAUACAUUGGUUCACUAAUUGCAAAGAAAGCAAUAAUAUGGUCAAUGUAUACAAAAAAAUAUAUGGAGUUCUUGAAACAAGAAACUCACUAUAUGGAAGAAGAGAGAAUAUUAUUCUCACAGUUACGGAUUUAAAAGCAAAAGGUACAUUGCGGAAAAUAUAAAGCGCAUGACUUCGGUUUAAUAAUCUAAGUGACUACAAAUCCAUUUAUUUUUCCAGUUUUGUGAAGGCAUACACCUUACAUAUUUGACUAAAGUUACUUAGUCGUUAUGUUUUGAAUUACAUUCAUGGUGAAGACCUCUUUAUAAUUGUUGGCAUAAUUAUUCAGAUUUUGUCAAGCACAUAUGGUUCGAUCUAUGUUAAUGCAAUAUAUUGCAUUACAACAUGACACUACAUUGGACUACAUUGGACCACCAGUUAUUAUAAGGUGGCAUUUCUAAAGGUUAAAUAUCAUGAUGUUGCGCAAUGCACAUCGGUUUUGGAUCAAAAGAAGAUUUGUAAUGUCAAGUGUGGCACAAUGCACACUUAUACAAUUGCAAAGGCAUUACAAACAAGAGUCGUUUUCUACACUCUUUAGCGGAUUCAUACAAUUGCAAAAAGAAAAUUGCGUUACGCUAAAUGUCAUCCAAAAUUGGAUGUUGAAAAAUCCUCUUCUUUCUCUACAAGAUCCAACAGUGGGCCGUGGAUGCUCACGACCAAUUUUGCCAAGUUUUGGCAUGUUCUAAGCCUUGUUUCAUCCAUCUAUGUAGUAUUACAUGUCAUGUAAUGCACUCUAAAGGAUUCUAAUACCUUUUUUCAAUCUCCAUCAAAAUUGUUAACAUAUUUCGAUUUCCAUGUCUUGACAUAAGACUGUUGUUUCUACAUUCUUGUAUAUGAAUGUGUCGUAGCCAGAUUGAGCGCUUAGCUUAUUGCAAGGAAUAGACAACUAUUCAUGGAUUUAGUACCUUAUAAAUCUGUUGUGACUACGAUGACUAGAUCAUCACAAGUAAUCAAAGAGCGGAUUAAUGCUCAAGUUCCAAUGCCUAAUGGCGUUAUGAUUCAAGUUGCAUAUGCUCUUUAUGCAUGCAUAAGGAAGCAAUCGAACCAUGCUAUGACUUAAUGAUAUUCACGCCAACGUUUAUCACUUGUAAACACAUUAUGAGAAUUGAUGAGAAUUUCUUAUGUAUCACUAUAAUGAAUGCGCAACAUUCAUGAGUCACUAUGAUUCGGUUAAUUGAAUCGGUUAUUAUCACCAAUGAUGAGAAUGGAUGGAGACAUCGACUCAUGUAGGCUUUAACAUAAAUCGUCCGGGACAAUUUUGGACGUGUUUUAAUGAUCCAUAUACUAAAGAGUAAAGACUCUCACGGACAUCCUUUCUUUUGAGCAAAGUAACCAUUAAGAUAAAUGAUCACCAAAAUACAACUUGGUGGAGCUAUGAGCAAUGUUCACGGCUUAUGGAUGGCAUUAAAGCCGUUCGCGUCAUCCUCCUAUACAAUGGAGGCACUACUCAUGUUUUCAUAAGCAAAUAUGACGCAAAAGAACCCCUUAUGAUCUCACAUUGGCCAUGCUCGAUACUUGUUUUGUAAAGCCUAUUUUUUAGUAAAGAUUAGGAGUGACACCCUCCAAUGCUAAAGACAAUGAAAUGUAGAGACUAGCAUAUAAACAAGAUGCUAAGUCGUUGUUCACUAAGUAAGACAUUUAUUACAAUGUCUAUGAGUGAUUCUACAAGAAUCAUACAUAAGAUGUUGGCCUAGAUGACUUUUUCUCAUUGUUCACUUUGAGGCAUAAUAAUGCUAUGGUGAUGUUCACAAUGGUUUAACUCAAGCUAUAACAAUUAGAUGUUAUGGGGAACCUUAACAAUGAUUGAAAAGUUGACACAACCUAGAAUUUCCUGUUUUUCAGCUUGCGGACCAGUCAUUGUGAGAUCCAGUUCACCAACUUUUAGACCGGCUCUGUUUGCGGCCACUGAUUUCUAACAUCCAAGCCUACCUAUUCACAAAAUUUGGUGGCAUUUGGAGACCUGGAAGGUGGUGAACCGCUCAAUAUAAGUGUUCACGGAUGUCCAGCGACUCCAACGGCCGGUUCGACACUUUUCCAUCCAGUUUCAUCGUUGAUUUUGGCGGUUUUGUAAUCCUAACGUCCAUGUCUACCUACAUACAAAAUUUGGUAGCGUUUGAAGCUCUGGAAAAUAGUGAACCAUUAAAGGAAGUGUAAAACAAAGGUCCGGUGAUGCCGGCGGUCGGUUCAACCGGUUUCUUUUUUACCGGUCCCAACGGUAAGGUCAGCAGUUUUUUAGACCUGUAAGACCAACUACUACGGAUUGUAGCAGGGUCAUAGUUUUACUUAUUCAUCUUUACCCACCAUCAUUCAAAUCUUUAGGUUACAGUUGUAACGGUAUGCAUAUUUGUUAACAAAUUGAGUUAACAUUCUGCAAUCUAUAUCAUCCACAUGUUGUAUGCACCAAAUUGCGUCUCCACAGGUGCACAAUGAUGAGUUAUUUGAUGAAUAUUGUCUUUGAAUAAGACAUGAGCUUCCGACUAUAAUCCGUUUAUAUAGAAACCUUGAUAGGCGAUAUCUUUUAUGUCACUUUGAUGAGCCAGUCUUCCCGUCGUUAGGGAGAGAUAAGAACAAGAAUGUUCAAGUAGAAAGACUUGGAAUUGUCGUGGUUUGUCCCAACUAUGUCUCAUGAAGUUCCCUAAAGUGACGAGAUCACAUAUACAUGCUGCAAACAUGCCUGCAAGGAUUGAUGUCUGGAUAAGGACAUGUUGAUGUCCGGAUAAGAGGACAUGUUGAUGUCUGGAUAAGAGGACAUGUCGUCACCCAUAGAUGGUGGCAUGGUGACACCACAAAUGUGGUAAAUGGUGUCGCUAGGCCAUGGCUCCCACGGUUUAGGGGGAGACCACUUGGUUCGAUACAUACUCGCCACGGAAGAAUGCGAGUUUGGCACAACUUGAUCAUUUGAUCAAUGAUACUCAUUCGUCUGUUAUUUUUGGAUUAUGGUCAUCAUUGGGGGACGCCUCAAUGUCAAUACCAAUCCAUAUAGAGAUCUCUACACUUAUAAAUUAUACCAGUGUACAUGAUGACGUGGUUUAAUGAGUUUGAUAUCGAACCAUACUUCGUUGAGAAAAUACUGACGUUGUAGAUUGGCCUAAAUGGAAAGAUGCGAUCUAGUUUAAACAAAGAGAUAAUGCUUUGGUUAGGUGACGCUGACACCCUAAGUGUAAACUCUAUCAAUUAUGUUUUUGUUAGAAAGCGUAGUGAGAAAAAGAGUUUAGACUCACCGUAUGGCGCAAGGUCUCUCACAAACGUCCUGGAAUCGACUACGAUGAGAUAUACUCUCGUAAUAGAUGUCAUUGCACUCCAUUACCUUGUCAGUUAGGUAGUUUCCGAAAAACUGAACAAGCAGCUUGUGGUCACAACUUAUCUUUGUUAGGAACUAAGAGAUGUAAAUAAAGAUCUUGAAUAGAUCAGUUUUCACCCAAAUCAAGUGGCUCUUGACCACGGAGCGCGUUUGCAAGGUAUCUGCUAAGUAUCUACUUGAUUAGGGAAGGGAUAUGAAUAAUUAUGCCUAUUUGCGUGUAAAUUCUGGAUGGAUUGUGAUGAACUCUUGUUAAACUAAGAGAUGCCACUGAUCCAAAAUUAAGAAUGAAAGGAUCUUGGGAAUACUUGGUCUAAAAAAUGAGGACCGUUAUUGAUGAUGCUUAUUCAUCUGUCGGCUUAAGGCAAGCUAAAGGACGAUGAAGUUAUGCCUAUAUGUAUCUCUUGAUCAGUCGAAGUCUUGAGAAGAAUUGUUUUGUCCAUAUGACAAAGAAGUCUUAGGAGAAAUCCUCUAUCUAAGUACGGUAGCACAUUCAUGUACUUGUUACAAUAUGCUCAACUCGACAUCUCAUUCACUAUAAACUUGUAAGGCCAAGUUCUCCUUAGUCAUUCAGCUCUCUAGCGCUCGAGCAACUUCACGCCUGUCACACCCCAAUUUGAGUAAAGGUUUAACCUCGAAUUAAGGAGUGAAUCACACUUUAAUUAUAGACAGUUUAACAUCCAUAAUUAAAAUGAGACUGAUAUCAUUACAUGACAUAUAAAACAUAACCUACAAACCUUUAUUGUUUACAACCUUUCAAGAAGGUACUUAAAACACACAUGUUUAAACAUNNNNNNNNNNNNNNNNNNNNAAAAAAAAAACUUUUAAUUAAAACAAAAUAAGUAAGGAUGUUACAACGCCCUCUUAGAUGAGUGUGAAGGAACAUCAAGGCAGCGGCCGGAUGCCCCCACACAACGCCAAUGUAAUGGCAGUGAUUCCUUCUAUGAAAGGUUCAGGCUUAUUCAUCCCUACAGAAAGACACAUCAAAUACGAAAUCAGAAUCUGCCCAGUUUCGUAGGUCAACUUCCACGGGACCUACAUGAUAGCCUACUCGUUGGAAAAUGGUGAAAUUGGUACCAUUGGAAAGGUUUAUGUGUCUACUUUCCAGAAACACCAACCAUUUGAUCACACCUAUCAUAUUGAGUGAGUUAUGGCUAUUUUCGUAAAAUAGGAUGGAUCUGUCUGAGAAUCUGCUUUGGCAAAACAGUCAACUUCGACAGAGCUUUGUGAUCAGCUUGAGAUGAACUAGGUUAUGGACCUCGUAUGGUUGGAAAGCUACGUGUAUCUAGUUUCCAGAAAUUUAUACGGCUCGUCCAUACCUAUUGUAUCGAAGACGUUAUGACUGUUUAAGUAGACAAAGGUCAUGCCACGCGUGAAUCUGAUUUUCAACGCGAACUUAUGUUUUGAGUUGUUAGGCAACCUUCUCCUUGAAGAUCAAAGUAAUGCUAAGCAUAGCAAGUCUGAUCUAAUCAUAUUAUGGCUGGAUUUAAUGAUUAAAUCGUUGCCUAAGUCUACUUUUGAAGUAUGUGAAGUGCAUUGGCUUGCGUCGUUUAUCUGUACUCCGAGAUUGAGUUACCAAUCAGGGGGAGUCGUUGUGUAGACAUCAGGGGGAGUCUACAUGCAUCACAUGUUAUCUUCAAUUGUAGUUGGUGCAUUGUGCUCUUUUUCCCUUCGUCCAAGUCUUUUGCUUUACCCACGAGGUUUUUUGUUUUACUUGGCAAGGUUUUUACCGAGGCAACACCAGAAACACCAUAACGUAUUAGGGACGCAACACAAGGGGGAGUGUUUAAGGAAAUUAUGCUUCUGUCCUUCUAUUAUGUGUCUUGCCCUAAUACACGUAGGAUUGGUUAAUCUGGUUUCCUUAUUAGAAUAGAUUACAGUUGAUAGAUCUUCUAAAUCUUUCGGGAUACUCUAUGUAAUGCCUAUAAAUAGGCCUUUCUAUCAAUGAAUGAGUAGACCGUUAUUCUCGUUAUAUUUUCUCCUUCAACAUAAAGGAUUUUGAUACAAACAAUGUAUAAUUAUGCACCUAUCACAUGGAAAAAAGAAGACAAACAUUUCACUUCCUGUUUGAGCCCGGUUGAUAUUUGGUCCAAGACCACGUGAUAGGUUUUGGAUAGCAUUUGAGCCAAUACAUGUGGCCCUUUUUAAUAUAAAGCCCGUUAAAGAGUCGCGAGCUUCGGGGCGCCCAAGAUAGAUUUUAACAAGGACUGUGGCACCUCAUGAGAUAAGGUUGCUUGUUAUUUGAGUUCGGGAGGAGAUUACAGUUGGAUAGCGCGGAGGCAGUGCUUAUGGUCUAGGCGGAGUCUGUUAUGAUUGGAUGCGUGUCAUCUGGAUAAUGCAGUUCGCGAUCAAGGCGUGUCCUUGUGGCAUUCUAAUUGCUGAGUCCGAAUCAGUUUGUGAUUGUAUCAGCUAGUUGCGAGUCUCUAUAUACGGGGGGCUCGAGGAUCAUUCAAGACAUACAAUCAAAUCAUACAAACUACAAAAAAAUGUUCGAGCAUCCUCAAAACCCUAAGUGCUAAAACAUCCUUUGCUUUGGUUUACGGAGCCCGUUCGGACUCGUCUUUUCUUCCUGAUUAGUUGCUCUGCUCGCUCUCACAAUGAGUAUCGAUUCACAGGUGAAUAGUGGUUUAUUCCUCGUCCGCGAGAUGGCACCGGAGCCCUUUUCGCUUGAUUAGAAGCCAGACACACGCGCAAUUCACACUCCGCGUCCGCGCGGUGGCACCCCGCAACCAGUUUUUACUUUUUGGUACUGCUAGUUACCUUUUUACUCCUGCUGAGGAUUGUGGCCAAAACACUUCCACCAUUAAAUCUUUGCAUAUUUAUUACUGAAAUUAUGUAAUUUAGUAGAAAUACUAAAUUUGUCUCUCUUACAUAUACAAAAAGGUUAAUUGCUUCUGUUCGAAGCUUGAUGCAUCAGAAUUGUUCUAGCUCUCAGGGACUGGCCAAUCAUGUCCUCAACAGAACAAGUAUUAUGGAAUGUACAGAUGCUAGCUAGGUGACUAAAUAUUGGAAAAUGCAAGCAGCACUUGCAAUAGGCUUAAAAUCCUCAAAUACCUCUCUCCAUGAAAAAGCAAAAAUCCUAAUUACAAAGAAACCAAAUGGAUAGAAACUGCUCGUUUAAUUAAUGAGUACCAAUCUGCUCAAAAGACAUUGGAUUUCUCAUCGAAAUUUUUUUACAAAGGAAUAGUUUACAAAAGAAUCUUGAGGAUCAAGGGUCAACUAGCUCUAAGCAGAAGUAACAGUUGUGACAUCUUUGUUUGAUCUAUUGUACUUCAUGUGGCUCUUAACAAGUUGUCCAGCUGCAAUAGCUGACAUGAGAGAUAGUUCUCCUGCAAGAACAGAACCAGCUACAACACUGGCCAACUGCCUUGCGUUUGUUCCUGGUGCCUCUCUGUUAGCACCCUUCACUCCAAGCAAGUUCAAACAAGCAGACUGAGAUGCAAGUUGGGUUCCUCCUCCUACUGUGCCAACCUCAAUAGAAGGCAUGGUCACUGAGACGUGCAGAUCCUUUCCAUCAUUGAUGGCUUCCAUCAUGGUGAUGCAGUGAGAACUCUCAAUGUUCUGAGCAGGAUCUUGACCAGUAGCUAGAUAGACUGCUGAAACGAUGUUGCUAGCAUGCGCAUUGAAACCACCAAGAGCACCAGCAAUGGCAGAACCUGUAAGGUUCUUGAGCAUGUUAAGCUCCACCAAGGCUGCCACGUUUGUUUUCAACACCUUCGUGACUAUGUCUCCCUUGAUAACGGCCUCGCAAACCACAGAUUUGCCACGACCUUCGAUCCAGUUAACAGCAGCAGGCUUCUUGUCUGAACAGUAGUUACCGGAUAUGCCAAUGACAUCCAUGUCAGGGAAGUCAUUCUGGAGGAAAUCGAGAACGUUUUGAACACCUUUAGAGACCAUGUUCAUCCCCAUAGCAUCACCUGUGCUGCAGGUGAAUCUCAUGUAAAGGUUCUUCCCGGCAACAGCACACUUGACAGUCUGAAGUCUACCAAAUCUGCUAGAUUUGUUGAAAACCAUGGAAAUGGUUUCAUAGUUUUCAGGGUCUUCCAUGAAAAACUUCAACUCAGCGGCUCUUUUGGCAGAGUUGAAUCUGACAACAGGUGCUCUGGUCAUUCCGUCUUUCAAAAGAACACUGGAAGCUCCACCAGACAAGUUGAUGGCUUUGCAACCACGGUUGGUACUGGCCACCAAGCAACCCUCAGUUGUGGCCAUGGGAACUGAGAACUCUCUUCCAUUGAGCAUAAGAGGCCCAGCAAUCCCAACAGGAAUGGUAAUAUAUCCAACAGGCAUUUCACAACAUUGACCCAAGAUUGACUCGUAAUCAAAGCCUUCCAAAGGCAAACCCUCCAAAGACUUGCCUGUAACUCUCUGUAGAGCCUCACGCCUAAUAGAAGCUGCCCUCUUGCAGUCGCCCAGCUUUGUCUCGAGUGAGUAUGAAGGAAUGGUUCCGGCAACCACAGCCUUGAUAAUCCCCUCGUCUUCUUCAGUAGGUGGUGGGGUCUCGAUCAUUGCCUUCUCUUCAAACACCUUUGGGGCAACUUUAGGAGCAGGUUCAGGUGAAGCAAUAGGUGCCAUUUUGGUAAUUGAGAAAUCCAGGGCCUGACCGCAAGGGACUUUGCGAGCAUCCUCCUUGAGAAUAAUCUCUUCCUCGUCAUCGUCGGCGGCCCAGAUGUCAUUGCUGGGCUGGAGAAUGAGGGACUGAACGAAAUCGAUACCGAAGAAGCCGAGGAGGUAGAUGAAGGAGGCUACAAAGGCUAGAAUAGCUACGAUCUCAGAGAGAUUGAUGAUGUGGAGAGGAGUGUUGGUACGGAUCUUCUCACGCCAGCUGGUGAGCAAGAAGUAGACGACGGAGAAGAAGAGAGCGAAGAACACAGCGUUGGUGAUGUACAGUGGCAACGGCAAGGCGUCUGAUGCCUUCACGACGUCCUUCUCAUCGUCUACGAACUUGACCUUCAUUUUCAAAGGCUUCCCUGACUUGGUCGUGUAUUGCUCCAUCGCCGAUCUCUUUCCGACUUCCAUCUUAUGUGUUGGAUAUAUUGAAGAUGGUAAGAGGUUGAAGAAGAGAGAAAGGUGAGCUUUGGAAAACUGAACAGGCUUGGAUAUUCCUGUUCUGGUUGUUUUCUGUGAUGGUUUGAGUUUGAUAUAGAAUGGAAAGGAGGGAGGUCUAUAUAUAGUGUUGAUUGAGGCGUGUGAGUCAAGAGCUCGCGUGCGAAGCAGGAAGCUACGUGCAUGAUCGUCACUGAGAAUGAGUAAACAGUCAAACGAGUACACCUAUAAUUCCAUUUGAGGUGUUUCUUUCUCAGCAAUUUCUUACUCUCUUAUUUGUCCCAGUAUCUUUUCGAUCUCUUACUAUAUUGCUUGAAGCUGUGUGCGUUUCUUAUCUUUAUCUCUAUCUUUGUUAAUCAUAAUUUUGAGUUCUGGUAUAAUGGUAUUGAAGACAUUCUAUGCUCAAAAUUUGACGAAAAGAAAAGAUUAAUGGUCAAGGUCUAUAUAUCAUUAUAUCCUCCACGAUCGAUAGAACCCUAUCCAAAUCGUGUUACUGGUGUUAGUGCUAUGAGCCACUGUGGCCAAUUUACAAUAGCUAGUGUUCACGUACGCGUACCCAUUUUCGAUAUAUAUGUGUUCAUUAUACUCUUUACUCUCAGGAAUCUUAUAGAAAGUACAUGCCCGAAAGAAAAAAAAUUAUUGCCGAUGAUCUGGACUCUGUGAUCUGAUCUUUUACUUCUAGCUAAUCAAUGGAAGUUAGCAUUAGAAAGUUAAUUGAGAAUGGUGAAGUUUCUUCAACAAAAUUGAAGAUAAAACCAGGGCCGGUCUUGAGAAUUUGGGGGCUCCAAGCAAAAAAAAAUUUCAGGCUCCCUGCCAAAAAGUAUAUAUACUUGCUUUUUGCUUCACUUCUCUGCCUCUCUUUUCUUUUUUUAGCCCCAGAAUGAUACUUCCUUAUUGGAGCCAUAUAGCACCCUGCAAAACAUAAACCUACAGAAUUUUAGACAUAAACAAAGACAUGAAAUCAAACAUUCAAUGAUUCAAAUACUCAAAUCAAAACCUAUCUCACAAUCAGUCUUCCUAAUUGAAAUCAAAACCCUUUUCAUUCUCAAUUUCAAGUUCUGAACUAUGAAAUUGCAAAAACUAUGGGAUUAGACUCAUAGGAGGAGGACGAUAGACUUACCUGACUUUCAUCAGAGAGAACUCAGAGAAGUCGAGGGUUGUUGGCCUGCUGCAAGGAGACCUUGAUAUGAGAAACUGAGAAAGACGCGUGCGGGUGGUGGGGGCGUGGCCAACGUGCAGCACUCGAUGACUCGAUCAAAGAGAAAGACAGAAAACAGAAGUUGCGUGGGUUUAGAUGUUUAGUACAUGCCAAUUAUAUAUACAGGGCCCUUUCAAUGAGGGGUCUAUUUUUUUUUCAUUUCUAGGGAUAGAUCAUUUGACGAACUUUUCGAUCACAAAAUCAAAUCUCCACCAUUUAGUUCGUUGGGCUAUAUGAGUAGAUUAUUUCUACAAAUUUUCAGAAAAUUUGGUGAUCGUUAAGUCAUCCAAAUGAGGGAUGUUUUUUUAAUAAUCUUGAAUGGUGUAGGUUUGACAUAAGUGUUAAGUUUUUUGUUUUAAUCUCAGCCAUCAAAGCCCAUUAAAAAACAGAUCUAAUGAUUUGGGCCUAUUCCUAAAGUGACAAAAAAAUAGGGAUCCCUCAAUGGAAGAGCCAUGAUUAUAUAUAUAUAUAUAUAUAUAUAUAUAUAUAUAUAUAUAUAUAUAUAUAUAUAUACAGCCUUUCUUGGCUGCGGACGUCCGCACCAAAAACUUUGGUGCGGAUUUCCAUUUUUUGCAUCACUUCCCGAUCGAAUUUCCUCAAACUUCCUUCUAGACAUAUCUAGAUCAUCUUGUGUAGAUCAUCUCUGCAAAAUUUCAGCCAAUUUAGUGAUCGUUAAAGCCCUCAAAAUCGAAAAACAAAUGGAGAUGAUGAACCGGACAGAAUUCAGUCCGUCAGUUUUGUAACGCAAGUUUGAGGGCCUUAACGAUCACCAAAUUGGCUGAAAUUUUGCAGAGAUGAUUUACACAAGAUGAUCUAGAUAUGUCUAGAAGGAAGUUUGAGAAAAUUCGAUCGGGAAGUGGUGCAAAAAUAGAAAUCCGCACCAAAAAAUUGGUGCGGACGUCCGCAGCUGAGAAAAUCCGUAUAUAUAUAUAUAUGUUUGGUACUUUUUUUGGGGCCCAAAUUAAAAACAUGGCCCAAGGCCAGUUCUGGAUAGAACUCUCAUGUUAACCAUGCAUAUGUAAGGAUUUCAGUACUAACCAAUGAAUAGGUUGUGAUGUGUUGUUACUUGAACAUGGGCAAGCGUGACUCUUAAAUCAUCAUUGUACCGAUAAUGUCUCAAUUAACUUAACCACUUUUAAGGUGUUGGGUUUUAACCACAAAAAAACUCGAUAUAAUUGGCAUAAUGUGAUAUUUCCUCUCUAACAUCGAUACAAUUAGGUAUGAUGUGAUAUUUCCUCUCUAACAUUGAUCACUAUUACGUACGAUUGAAUACAUGAUGUUGCUCAUUAUUGCCUUCUUUAUUCCUUUCAUUUUCUGCACUUAAUAAUCCAUGGUUUCUGACUUGUUAGGUGUACCGUAUCAUUGAGACAAAUUUCCUGCUUUUAUAACCGCAGAUCGCCUAGCUAGCUAGAGCCAACCAAGAAAGAAUAGUUUGGAAAGAGUAACAGAGUCGGUCGUAUUCGUCUAACUCAUAAGUCAAAAUGUAUCCAUGGAAAAAAAAACUCGCAAGUCAAAUGACAUGUUUGAUUGCUGGCAUGGAUCGAUCUCUUGCGUUAACAUAAUCCGGCAAAAUCACCUAUAAAGUCUUUGGCAAUCUUGUUUUCCACAGAGAUACAUGAUUAAAUGGCCAACAAACAAUGGCCUCCAUAGUCUGAACUGGCUGGCGGCCGCCUAUUUCCUUUACUAAGACAUAAAUAUAUUCCGGCCACUUGAUCAAUUAUAUAUAUAUAUAUAUAUAUAUAUAUGUGGUAGCUAGUACCGUUGUAGUAAUUCUGGUAUGCUGUAUAUAUGUGUGUGUCUGUUUUGUUCACGCAGUUCUUACCCAGUCAACAGAAAAAUUAUAAACCCUAGCUAUGGUACCCUACAGGCAUAUAUGAACUUCAAUAAUGCAAUGAAUUUUGACAAAGGAAAAACUGUUAUGACUCCUAUAAUUAAGAUCAUACAUGUGCAUUAUUCUGUUGAACAUAGCUGCUCCCUCCUCAAAUAUCAUAAAAAUGCAACUUAAAACGUGCAAAUAUAAAAUGCUACUCUAAUAAUGGAAUCGAUCAACAUUGGGUGGAGGGAGAUCGGAUACGUAGUAGAUUAGUAGAAUGCCAAAUCCAAAUUGAUCCUCCAAAAAUAAAAAUAGAAACCGAGUCACUGACUCAAUAGUUUGAAUAGUUCAUGCGUCAUUUGAAAACUACAAGUUGGAAUUAGAAAAUCCACCAUACAACUAUAUAAAUAAAUUUAUACGAAUAGCUAUAGGGCGGUUCUCUUUUUUGUAAUCUUAUAAUCAUAGAUUCCGGCCAGCAGCUACGACUGCUACGUCGACUUGGCUCAUCUGUUUUCGCCUGCUUUGUUAUUUUCUGUAAUACUACGUACAUCAGCUAGAAUUCAGAGACAAAAGAAAAGCGAAGAAAUAUAAUUAAUGAAGAACAAUGUUCUUCAUUUUACCUAUUCUGGGAGAAAACUUCAACAGUAUUCGUACGUGUUGUUCUUCAUUUUGUUUUAUUUCGAAUUCUCUUCUUGUUUUGUUAUCGUGAGAUUCUUAUUUGCAGCUUUAACUGUACCACAUAAACAACAUAAAAUCAGGUUUGAAGGAUUCAAGAUUAAUCCAAACUCCAAAGCCCCGUGUGUGUGUGUAUAUAUUACAUUUGAUUUGAUCUGAUAAUAACAAGAGUAGAGAGGAGAAAGAGAUUACGUACCUAAUAUUAUUUUCACAUUAAUUUCACAUUUGCCGGUAGUGCAUGUGUUGCUACGCAAGAUUAACUACGCGCAAGCAUGCUGAUAACUUAUAUUUCGUAAUCGCGUUGGGGGCCGAUACUAUUUGAAGACUAACUAGUUAGCACUGACUCAAGAUUUAGAAAAAUCUUCAUGCAUUAUUGCUUAGGGUUUUUCUCAAUUGAAGAAAACUUAGAGCAUGGAAAACUAGUCGUAAGUAUACAAUUUACUAUGUAUAUAAAUUUCAAAGGAAAAAGGAGAACCGUGGGGAUCGAUUUGUUGAUAUUGUAUUGUAAUCUUCUUAAUUUCCAUCGAUAUAUAUGUUGAUCGAUUCUAUGAUUUCAGUUGAUAUAUGCACGUUUUUUAAGUUGCACCGUAUAAAAUAGUAGAAUCAGUACGUAUUUACAUCGCGGUACGUUGAUCAAGAUAAUAUUUGAAAAAACAUUUAGUGGAUGAAAUUAUGAUAUUAAUUAAGAAAGCAGAGAAGAUUAGAUAUCAAUUUACAAAUGGAGAAAUAAUGUACGUAGAUCGAUAUAUACUGUAAACUCAAAGAUGGAUCAUAUAUAGCAUACUUGUACCACUUUACAUAUGAGAUGCAUGUUUCAAGAUGAUCCAAUCUCAAUCAACUGUUUUAUCUCGAUCAAUUAUUUCAAAUGGGAUUGAAACCAUGAAUAACACAUUGUUUUCAAUGUUUAUGUAUUUCUUGAUACAGAACGACACUCCAAAUCACUCAAAUCAGCAAAGAGUAUUAUGUGGCAGAGCUGUUUUCGUUUUCUUGCAAAUUUAAAAUGCAUGCUGUGCGUUUUUCUCAUGGAGGAAAUCGGGUGGUAGGUAUAUAUCGGGGCACUACCCAUAAUUUAGAGUUUGUUGAUUUUCUUCUUGCUUGUACGUUGGGUUUUUGAGAGAGAUUUUCAUGUCUUUUCUUUGUAUCCUUUUGAUUAUUCAACAUAUAUAUUCAAAAGAAAAGAGACGGACAUGGAUGCAGUUGGUCCAUGAGGAGCUAAUCCAAUCUCUUCUCUUAUUACACUAAAAUUAAAGCAACAAGAAACAUCAAAGUCUGAUGUUAUAUACAGUAUGCAACUAUAUAUAUAUAUAUAUAUAAAUAUAAUUGCCGCACAUUAACUUACCCAUACAUGUAUAAUUUAAUUUCAUGUAAUAUUAACGUCAUGUAUAAUUAUGACGUGGAUCGUGUAGUUACGUACGUCCUUUAAUUUUGCAUGCAUGGUAAAUACGUAAUUGCGUACAGUAGGUGUAGAGAGAAAUUGGCCGGAGACUGAAACAAAUCAAAGAAAAAACACUUGGUUGUGAGAGCUAGCGGUCUUGAACCUCCAUACUGCGAUCAAUGCUAGCUGCACUAGUCCACAUUAAUUUGGAGUCUUUCUGUCAUUAUUGUUAUACGGGAAAUAUGCACUAUUGGAGUACGUUACGGAGUACAAAUUUUCUGCUCGAUCUGCUGGAUAUAUAUAGCAGCUAGCUACCUAUAGGGUUUUACAGUAGAUCGAGUAGUGGUUGGUCGAGUCUUAAUCCACGCAUACAUCUUCAACCUUAUCGUCCUUAAUUAUUCCUUUGUUUUGCCCUAGUGGUAUAUCACAGCAACGUUAAUUAGCUAAGAAAAUUAAUUAGAGAAAGCAACAAAAAAUAUUAAAGUCCUGCGUACGUACAAUGUGAACUGAAAAUCGCGAGUCGUAAUUGGUAAAAGAAAUAAGCGAGCGCCAACCAGUUCAGACUAUAUACGAAUCGAUAAGCUUAAUUUGGGAUCCCUUUUCUGUGUUCGUGUUUCUUUUACGGAAUGUAAAUUCUACAGCUAGCUUUCUGUUGGACUUUGUGAUCGAGCUAGCUAGCGGUGGAUCUAUCUAUCUUAAUUUCCACAUAUCCUAGCUAGCUUAUAAAAUGAUUAGAGACCGAGUCGUGUCAUUCAGGUAUAAGAACACCAUGCAUGCAAUGCAUCGACUUAAUUGGUUUCAUCAACAGCUGUUUUGAUAACAGCGCGCUAAGAAUCGUUUUUAGAUCGAACAAAUGAAUUUGGUUUCUUCUCCUCCUUCGUUUACGAAUCUAACAUCUCUCUAACCACUUUAUCAGCAGAGAACUAAUUAAUUAAAGAAGAGGAUUAAUACAACACUUAUUGCAUUCAAUCGAUCAAAGCGCGCUUGUUAUUCAACACUUAUUGAAUGGAUCACAGAUUGAACAUCUCGUUAUCAUCAUGGUAGAAAAUUCGUGUGAAACUCAUGGGUGGUUGCAUUUAGUGCGUUGUAUAGUUUGAUUUGAUGACAACAACAUUGUGUUUGAGUGAAAGGUGAUCGAUCAUCGAACCAAAUUCAACUAUACUAGAAUUGUAAACUUUGUAAAUUUUACUAUUAUAGGGUAUCUAUAGUUACCAUCAUCAAUUGCUUAUUGUUGUUUAAUUGAUUUCUUCUAGUUUGAAGGUUUAAAGAAGUACACUUUCAAUACAUGAUGUUAAAUCGACUGUACGGGAAUGUAACAUAUAUAGUGUCAGACGUAUUUAGACGAAGAAUUAUUCCAAUACAUAUAAAUACAUAUAUAUAUAUAUCAACCCCCUUUCAAUGAGGGAUCCAUUUUUUUGUUUAUUUCUAGGGAUAGUGUAUUUGACAAACUUCCCGGUCACUAAGUUUGUAGGUGUAUAUGAGUAGAUAAUUUCUAUAAAUUUUUAUAAAAUUUGGUGAUCGUUAAGUCGAUCAUCUAAAUAUUUGAUUUAUUUUUAAUGAUAUUGAACGAUGUAGGUUUGACAUAUCUGUUAAGUUUUUUUAUUUUAAUCUUAGUCAUCCAAGCCCAUUAAAAAACAGAUCUAAUGAUGUGAGUCUAUUCCUAAAAGUGACAAAAAUAGGGAUUCCUCAUUAGAAGGGUCAUGUGUGUGUGUGUGUCUAUAUAUGGCUGUGUCUAUUGCCACCCCCAAAAAACUAGGGAUUCCUCAUUAGAAGGGUCAUGUGUGUGUGUGUGUGUCUAUAUAUGGCUGUGUCUAUUGCCACCCCACAAAGCACUUUACUCACCCCACACGUUGUUGAUUUAUUGAAUAACUGAUAUACCCUAAUGUAAAAUUACAGCAAGAGACAAUUAACUGUUACAAAUUACAAAUUAUUAUUAUUUUUAGAUAAACAUGUACUUCAUAAACUUUUACCCAAAAUUUAUCAUAUUCGAUCUUUCUAUGAAGUCUAAAUAAGACAAUAGCAUUCAACUGAAGGUGAGGUGAACUGUUUGUGUUUUUUUUUCUUUAUUGAUGUUUCGUCUAUCCAUUUACUUAUUAUUUUUCAUAUCGAUUUUGUAUGUAAAAUUCCAUGUCUAGUUGCUCACUUAUAUAUAUUAGAUUUGUUUUUUUUCAUCAGCGUCAUAGCUUUUUCCAAGUAGAGUUUACAAAUAUUUUGCAUCUUGAUAUCAACGGAUACCAAUGAGUUGUUAAGUUUGAGAGUUUUUUCUUGUUCUUUAAUUGAGAUUUAUACUUUAAUGUGAUUUUUAUUGUUCAGUUUGUGAUUUCACUUAGCCAAAUGAUUUUAAUCUUAUGGUUUUCUUGAAAUUCAUUUUGUUUUUAGAGUUUAAUGGUUAUUGGAAUAGGCUGAUAUUAUGUGUAUUGCAAAUCGGUGAAUAAAGUAAAUUUAAAAUUAAAAAAUAUAUAGACGAGAAGAGAUCGAAUGUAGGGUGAACAAAACAAAUUUGAAAUUGAAAAAAAUGUAUGCAGGAUGAAAAAAGAAUUUAGGGUGAAUAAAGCAAAAACGAGAAAAUGGUAUUUUAGGUAUUGUAAAUAGGUGAAUAAAAUAUACUUACAAUUAAAAAUAUAUAAGUGGGGUGUAAAGAGAACAUAAUGGUUUGUAGGGUGGCAAUAGACGCACCCAUAUAUAUAUAUGCUUCCAUCUUUGACAUAUUUGCAUAUAUUGCUCACCUAAAUUAUGCUAGGUUUAGGGCUUUCAGAUGCUAGCUAGUAUUCAAAAACUCAUGCUAGGUUUAGGGUUUUCAAAUUCAUUUUCACUUACAAGAAACAGUGAGGAAAGAGACAACACAAUAAAGUAAAACAAUAGAGGUGUAUUCCUUUGACUGUUUAUUCAUUCAUUCAAUCACAGUCGACAGUGAUGACCCUCCAUGCAGCUUCCUUCUUCGCACGCGAACUACGACUCCCACGCUUAGCCAACACCAUAUAUACGCAUCGUCUCCACCAUUCUAACUCAAACUCAAACCAACAACAAGUCGAACACAAAGCCUUCUCAGUUCCUCAGUUCCCACUUCUCUCUCCUUCGUCCGAUCCCGGUCGGCGGCUUGUUUUCCAUCUUCGACAUCCAAAACAUAAGAUGGAAGUCGGAAGGCGAUCGGCGAUGGAGUACAGCAACACCAAAGUAGGGAAGCCUUUGAAAAUGAAGGUCAAGUUCGUAGACGAUGAGAAGGACGUCGUGAAGGCAUCAGACGCCUUGCCGUUGCCACUGUACAUCACCAACGCUGUGUUCUUCGCUCUCUUCUUCUCCGUCGUCUACUUCUUGCUCACCAGCUGGCGUGAGAAGAUCCGUACCAACACUCCUCUCCACAUCAUCAAUCUCUCUGAGAUCGUAGCUAUUCUAGCCUUUGUAGCCUCCUUCAUCUACCUCCUCGGCUUCUUCGGUAUCGAUUUCGUUCAGUCCCUCAUUCUCCAGCCCAGCAAUGACAUCUGGGCCGCCGACGAUGACGAGGAAGAGAUUAUUCUCAAGGAGGAUGCUCGCAAAGUCCCUUGCGGUCAGGCCCUGGAUUUCUCAAUUACCAAAAUGGCACCUAUUGCUUCACCUGAACCUGCUCCUAAAGUUGCCCCAAAGGUGUUUGAAGAGAAGGCAAUGAUCGAGACCCCACCACCUACUGAAGAAGACGAGGGGAUUAUCAAGGCUGUGGUUGCCGGAACCAUUCCUUCAUACUCACUCGAGACAAAGCUGGGCGACUGCAAGAGGGCAGCUUCUAUUAGGCGUGAGGCUCUACAGAGAGUUACAGGCAAGUCUUUGGAGGGUUUGCCUUUGGAAGGCUUUGAUUACGAGUCAAUCUUGGGUCAAUGUUGUGAAAUGCCUGUUGGAUAUAUUACCAUUCCUGUUGGGAUUGCUGGGCCUCUUAUGCUCAAUGGAAGAGAGUUCUCAGUUCCCAUGGCCACAACUGAGGGUUGCUUGGUGGCCAGUACCAACCGUGGUUGCAAAGCCAUCAACUUGUCUGGUGGAGCUUCCAGUGUCUUUUGAAAGACGGAAUGACCAGAGCACCUGUUGUCAGAUUCAACUCUGCCAAAAGAGCCGCUGAGUUGAAGUUUUUCAUGGAAGACCCUGAAAACUAUGAAACCAUUUCCAUGGUUUUCAACAAAUCUAGCAGAUUUGGUAGACUUCAGACUGUCAAGUGUGCUGUUGCCGGGAAGAACCUUUACAUGAGAUUCACCUGCAGCACAGGUGAUGCUAUGGGGAUGAACAUGGUCUCUAAAGGUGUUCAAAACGUUCUCGAUUUCCUCCAGAAUGACUUCCCUGACAUGGAUGUCAUUGGCAUAUCCGGUAACUACUGCUCAGACAAGAAGCCUGCUGCUGUUAACUGGAUCGAAGGCCGUGGCAAAUCUGUGGUUUGCGAGGCUGUGAUCAAGGGAGACAUAGUGUCAAAGGUGUUGAAAACCAACGUCGCCGCCUUGGUGGAGCUUAACAUGCUCAAGAAUCUUACUGGAUCCGCUAUUGCUGGUGCUCUUGGUGGUUUCAAUGCACAUGCCAGUAACAUUGUUUCAGCCGUCUACCUUGCCACUGGUCAAGACCCGGCUCAAAACAUUGAGAGCUCUCACUGUAUCACCAUGAUGGAAGCUAUCAAUGAUGGAAAGGAUCUGCACGUCUCAGUGACCAUGCCUUCUAUUGAGGUUGGCACAGUAGGAGGAGGAACCCAACUUGCAUCUCAGUCUGCUUGUUUGAACUUGCUUGGAGUGAAGGGUGCUAACAGAGAGGCACCAGGAACAAACGCAAGGCAGUUGGCCAGUGUUGUAGCUGGUUCUGUUCUUGCCGGAGAGCUAUCUCUCAUGUCUGCUAUUGCAGCUGGACAACUUGUUAAGAGCCACAUGAAGUACAACCGAUCAAACAAAGAUGUCACAGCAGUUGCUUCCGCUUAAGAACGUACUACAAGACCCCAAAGCUAGUGCCUUUAAGCGUUAAAAGCCAUAAGAGUUAAUGGUGUGUAUGGGUACAAAUGAUCAUGCCCCAGACUGUUGACAACGGAGCAGGAACAUUUAGAGAUAGUAGUUACUUGCUUAGCAAUCCCUUCAGAUCCCUUCAGAUUUUCCUUGUAAAUUUCUUUGGAAAUCUAAUCAUAUAUCUUACUUUAUAAAGUUGGUACUCAUUAUUAAGUCAUGCAUGCAUGUAUUACUGGGUUACCCAAUCAGUACUUGACAUCGAUAAUCAUGAGUAGUACUGUUAGGCUAGCUAGCUAUACAGUAAUUCUCAAAGUAAUGAAACCCAGAUCAAGGGGAUUUGUACCGGAGGUCAUCAGAGAUUCAUAACAUAUAUUACUUCAAGGGAAAAUAUAUAUAGCCCUAAUUAACCUUGGUAAUGAUCUCGAAUGAUCGAGUCUGUUGUUGCAUGAUAUCAUUUCUAGUCUUCCCCCUUUGUAAGAUUGGUUUUGUCCUAAAUAUGAAUGAAUCUGAUCUGUAUACAUCACCACUUCACAAGACUGGAGAUUGUUAUCACUUAUCACCGCCACUUCGCACAAAUCAUAUAUACCAAAACCGACUUUCACUUAAUUUCCGACAUAUGAGUACGUUGGUUGGUCGAAGUUCCAACUCAUUCUCACUUUGAGAGCUCAAAAGGCCUAACCAACAUACAACCAAUGGUUUAGGGCUUGGGAGCCAAAAACCCCUAAAUAAUGGUAUUCAUUAAAACGUAAUUAAUUAAUUAUGUAUUAUUGACGUCUACGGGAACUACGUACUUAAUAUCAGGGGUGAUUUUGACAUCGAUCGUAAUCUUCAAUUAAUAAAUCUGGACAUGUAUGUAUAGUUUUCUUUAAUCUAAUUUUUUGCACGUUUAAAGCAACACCUCAAAUAUUGAAGUCAAAUUACAACAUCGUUUAUACAUUAUACAAUUAUUUUAUACGUACUACAUUUCUUCAAACGCAGUAGUAGUUCUUCAAUUCGUACGCCUAACACUAUUGACCAAUAAAAACAAAAUUCACACCUAACAUUGUUGUUGAUUUUGUUUAAUUUUCACUGGUUGAUUUGAAUGCAUGUCAUUAUAAAAGGUUUGAACAAAUGAACGGUAAUAACAAGAGGGUAGGUGACGAUGUACGUGUAUAUACAGUAUAUAUAUUAUUCUUUCGAUUGUUUUGCUUUCACACACUUGCCAAAUUGCCGGGAAACACCAACGUACGUAAGAUUUGUUGUACCAAUUAAUGAUGAUUUCCAAAGACCACACUCAUUCUUUUCUUUUUGCUUGAAUUUUUUUUCGUAACAUAAAGAAUGACUCUAGUCGGAUUGUAAAAUAAGAAGUGAAAUCCUUAUUCCGUAAAUUAUUGAUUAAGGAUAGUUUAGUAGAUCAAAGAAUGUACGGUUUAGGUUCUUCAUCCCUCCACUCAAUUUACAUACUUUUUUUCUUUUUCAAUGUACGUGUUAAUGCAUGUGAAUGAUAUGAUGCAUCAAAUUUGUAAACUGAGUCCUUAAACUAGUAAUAUUAAUUAUUGAAGUUGUAACAUAAGUCCUUAAAAUUGUAAAAUUUUCUAAUUACAACAUUAAUAAUUAUGUGUCAUUAAAUUGAUAAAAUAUGUGCUUACAGUGGUAAUUGAGUCUUUAAAGUGAUUAAAAAAAAGUUGUGACAACUUUGAAGACUCAUAUUACGUACAUCUUUGAUGACUCAAUUACCACUUUAACAACAAAUGAGGACUAAUGUUGUAACUAAUUUUUUUUUACAACUUUAACGACUUAUAUUUUAACUUUGAGGGCUAAUAUUACAUCUUUGAGGGCUAAUAUUACAUCUUUGAGGACUCACUUUAUAACUUGAGGACAAAGUUGAUGCAUCACAUGCAUUAACAUACCCUAGCCUUACCCACAAUUUAUAUACUUAUAGUCAAUCAAACCUUGGGAUGUAAGGAUGAUCCUUCCGGCUACUUUUUUUUUUUUUUGAAACAGGGACAUGAAGCUUUUCAUCCAAAAAAAAAUGGUAAUUACAACAUGACCCGCCCACAAGGGCCGAGGGAAUGAAACCAUGCUAGAUAGCUCGAAAGCAACCUAAAUGAAACUACCAUAGAGUUUAACCAAAAUAAAGCAAAAACCAAAGCUAUAAGUAACAGGGGUGGGCAUGCCCUAAACUUGUAAAAAAAGAACAUCCCAGAAUCAUCCUACGCAGAGGAGGUUGCCUUGGGAUCCACAACAACCGCCAUAUCUAGAACUGGUGAGGCCUCCGAACUCGCUCCAAGUCCACCCUCAAGGGCAAGGGUUCGUUUGACCAAACCGGUUGUCCUCCUCCUCUGCUUUAGAGUUUUGGAAACUGCGGCGAUUACCUCCUUAGGUUGAUUCUUUAAGCCCAUCGGUCUUCCAACGUUGCGUUUUUUUGGAGGGGAAAUAAUCAGAGUACCUGCAAAGUGAGUCAAAGAAAGCUCCAACAUAGAGCCUAGAGGAGCCAAAUUGGCUUCAAGCAUGGUCACAGGACCUUUCAGCCUCUUCCCCAGAUCCAGCUCCACCAAGACAGAGGCGUCACACUUCUUCUCGGAGAGGAUCGAAAUCCCUACUGGCCGGCUAAUGAACCUGCACCGGAGCACUCACCGCCGGCUGAGAGAAAUCCUUCCAACUACUUAUGUUGGGUUCCAAAUUAACUUCGUUUUAAAGUAAAAAUAGAUAUAGAUAUAUCUCUACUAUAAAAAAGAUAGCAAUCAGGAAAUUUACCAAAUUGUGAGUGCCAUAAUUACCUUUAAUAAGACAACUAAAACAAAUAAAAAUAACAGAAAUUUUAUUCACACAUCCCAAUUUUCUACAUACACAUCUCCUUUUUUACAACCUCAUUAUUAUUAAAUUAUAUUAGUCUAUGAAAUUACCAAAAAACAUCAAACUGAACAAUAAAAAACUAAUAUUGAACCUUGAGAGCUAGGAUCUGUGCCACUAAAAGGAGAUGAUCGAGAAAGAUCUUUCAUUUGGGUUCAUGAUUUUGGCUUCAAAAAUUAUGCUCAGUUUCAUGCUAUUUAUCUUGAUUUUUAUUCUAGUUUCAUACGAGCUGGUCUGUGCUUAUUUGAUAUAUAAUUUUCUAAUAAAUUUCAAUGAUUGUUCAUAAAGUGCAGACUAAAAAUGAAAACCUAAAUUUUGCAUUCUUCAAUUUCAACAAAAUGUUGAGUUCAUUUCCAAUCCACAUAUCUUGAGAAAUUGAUCUUAUAUCUCUUAAGAAAUUGAACUAAAACCUAAAAUGCUAGAAUAAUAUUUUUGAAAUUAAAGUCUUUUGUAUUUCAAGGGUAGUUUGGGAAGUUAUGGGUUGUGUAUUUAGUAAAAUCUAAUAAUAACAUAUUUAAUAAGUGGGGUAUUAAGUAAGGAAUGUGUAUUUAGUAUUUUAGGAUGUGUGAAUAAAAUUACUCUAAAAAUAAAAGUUAUUCUAGUAAACAAGAAAAUAUAUAAACAAAAUAAAAUAAAAAAAUUAAUAGAGAUGAUUGAGGAGAACUAAACCAAAAUUAACCAAUAUAGGUGAUUGUGAUGCACGAUGCACAAGUGAAAGACUAGUAUAUAUAAAUAAACUGAAUAUAUAUAUAUAUAUAUAUAUAUGUACAACAAUAAAAGAUCAAACAAUAUAAUCAUAACUUUGGUACAAUGGUCUACGAUGAUUUCAAACUUUUAAUUAUUUUUUUGCUUUUGGUGUAAAGAAAGAUUAUCAAGAAAAGGCAACCAUUCUAGUGCCAAGUCCUACCUAUUGACUUAUAGCAGGAUUAGUAGCACAAUGAUCUUUCUCCGACGUCGACCCUAAUGCAAGUACCAUGUAAUGUUACCACCAAUAACAAACACAUAAUAUAUAUUUAUAUAUAUAUAUAUAUGUAUAUAUAUAUACACACACAUACCCACACUCUCAUAAAAAUAUUAAUGAGAUUGAAUUCUUAGUCUUACACUCUUUAGUAAACGAAAUAGGCGCCAACCAGUUCAGACUAUAGUUUAAACAAACAAGGGGCAGUAGACUUGCUCACUAUUGUUGAGUGAUAAUUUAGAUUUUCUAAUUGGACUUUGUGCGUUAUAUCUCUUUCACUUCAUAAUAAAACUAAGAAUACUGUCACCAGCAUUUCGAAAAUAUAUAUAUAGGUUGUAUAGAGACAAAUGAUAUUCUCUAAUGUAGAAAUGGUGGAAUGCGACCUUAAUCAAAUAAAUUAUUUUUGAGUUGUCGUUCAACAAAAAUACGAAUGUAAUGCAGGACUCUACGAAUAAUUAUUUUCAUCACACAGCUAAUUACAUAAAGAUUAUGGCUGAUUGCAGAUAUGGUUUUAAAGUGCAUAUAGAUGGUUUCAACUUUCAAGAGCCAACAGAUAAGUGCAGAGAUAUAUAAAGCCAACAACUUACUCAACUAAUUAAGUAUAGAUCGAUAUUGCUCGAUUUAUACAAUAUAUAGAUCGAUGCAUUUCUCCUCCAUCAGAUUUCGUUCCAUUUCUUUUUUCAAAGUAAGAAGCAUGAUAUCAAGGGUUUUCUUACCGCAGUAGGGAUUGUGUCCUAAUCCCGGGAGAUCGAGGCUCUCCAGUCCCUCACCUCUCCCGGAUGAUAUAUAUCAUUGGAAUCUCGUUUUAAUUAAGAAAAUAACAAAAAAGGAGAAAUACAAUAAAAUUUUUGCAAAUCUGAAAAUUUAAGUUAAAUAAAAAGAUACUUGAAGUCACCAAAAGCGUGUAAAGUCACACAUAAUAAUUGACGGACCCGGUUAGAUAUAACACGAUAUUUAUGAGUCAUAAUCUAAGUAAAUUCAUAUUCGACUCUCCUAACACUCAAAAUAUGUAUACAUACAUACAUACAUAUAUGCUUUCUUGGUUAAGAAGAUCCUUAUUUAUUCUUACGGUGCGGAUUUCCACUUUAGACUAAUUUUUCAAUCGAAUUUUCACAUCUUUACCGUCUAGUCUUUAGAUAUUAAUGUAUAGAUCAUCUAUGCAAAAUUUCAGCCAAUUUUUUUUAUCAUUAAGGCACUCAAAUUCGAUUAGACUAAUGGGCAAACAUAAUUCUGUCAAACUUGAACGGUUCAUGUUUAUACAGAAAAACACAGUUUUGAGUGUCUUAAUAAUGACCAAAUUGGCUGAAAUUUUAUAGAGAUGAUCUAUGCAUUAGUAUCUAAAAACUGGACGGUGGAUACGUGAAAAUUCGAUUAAAAAGUGAGUCUAAAGUGGAAAUCCGUACCGUAAGAAUAAAUAAGGACAUCUUUACUUGAGAAAGCCUAUAUACACUACCAGGACAAGUACUUUAGCCGACGAAAUAUUUUCGUCGGCCUGUUAUCCUAAUUCGUCGGCUAAGACCUUAGCCAACGAAGGCUCGUCGGCUAUAGUGUCGUCGGGAAAGGGUCCCUGGUGAUGGCUUUAGCCGACGAAUCUAAAGACCAUCGUCGGCUAUUGUCCAGACUUAGCCGACGAACUAUUUUUCGUCGGCUAUUGUNNNNNNNNNNNNNNNNNNNNNNNNNNNNNNNNNNNNNNNNNNNNNNNNNNNNNNNNNNNNNNNNNNNNNNNNNNNNNNNNNNNNNNNNNNNNNNNNNNNNNNNNNNNNNNNNNNNNNNNNNNNNNNNNNNNNNNNNNNNNNNNNNNNNNNNNNNNNNNNNNNNNNNNNNNNNNNNNNNNNNNNNNNNNNNNNNNNNNNNNNNNNNNNNNNNNNNNNNNNNNNNNNNNNNNNNNNNNNNNNNNNNNNNNNNNNNNNNNNNNNNNNNNNNNNNNNNNNNNNNNNNNNNNNNNNNNNNNNNNNNNNNNNNNNNNNNNNNNNNNNNNNNNNNNNNNNNNNNNNNNNNNNNNNNNNNNNNNNNNNNNNNNNNNNNNNNNNNNNNNNNNNNNNNNNNNNNNNNNNNNNNNNNNNNNNNNNNNNNNNNNNNNNNNNNNNNNNNNNNNNNNNNNNNNNNNNNNNNNNNNNNNNNNNNNNNNNNNNNNNNNNNNNNNNNNNNNNNNNNNNNNNNNNNNNNNNNNNNNNNNNNNNNNNNNNNNNNNNNNNNNNNNNNNNNNNNNNNNNNNNNNNNNNNNNNNNNNNNNNNNNNNNNNNNNNNNNNNNNNNNNNNNNNNNNNNNNNNNNNNNNNNNNNNNNNNNNNNNNNNNNNNNNNNNNNNNNNNNNNNNNNNNNNNNNNNNNNNNNNNNNNNNNNNNNNNNNNNNNNNNNNNNNNNNNNNNNNNNNNNNNNNNNNNNNNNNNNNNNNNNNNNNNNNNNNNNNNNNNNNNNNNNNNNNNNNNNNNNNNNNNNNNNNNNNNNNNNNNNNNNNNNNNNNNNNNNNNNNNNNNNNNNNNNNNNNNNNNNNNNNNNNNNNNNNNNNNNNNNNNNNNNNNNNNNNNNNNNNNNNNNNNNNNNNNNNNNNNNNNNNNNNNNNNNNNNNNNNNNNNNNNNNNNNNNNNNNNNNNNNNNNNNNNNNNNNNNNNNNNNNNNNNNNNNNNNNNNNNNNNNNNNNNNNNNNNNNNNNNNNNNNNNNNNNNNNNNNNNNNNNNNNNNNNNNNNNNNNNNNNNNNNNNNNNNNNNNNNNNNNNNNNNNNNNNNNNNNNNNNNNNNNNNNNNNNNNNNNNNNNNNNNNNNNNNNNNNNNNNNNNNNNNNNNNNNNNNNNNNNNNNNNNNNNNNNNNNNNNNNNNNNNNNNNNNNNNNNNNNNNNNNNNNNNNNNNNNNNNNNNNNNNNNNNNNNNNNNNNNNNNNNNNNNNNNNNNNNNNNNNNNNNNNNNNNNNNNNNNNNNNNNNNNNNNNNNNNNNNNNNNNNNNNNNNNNNNNNNNNNNNNNNNNNNNNNNNNNNNNNNNNNNNNNNNNNNNNNNNNNNNNNNNNNNNNNNNNNNNNNNNNNNNNNNNNNNNNNNNNNNNNNNNNNNNNNNNNNNNNNNNNNNNNNNNNNNNNNNNNNNNNNNNNNNNNNNNNNNNNNNNNNNNNNNNNNNNNNNNNNNNNNNNNNNNNNNNNNNNNNNNNNNNNNNNNNNNNNNNNNNNNNNNNNNNNNNNNNNNNNNNNNNNNNNNNNNNNNNNNNNNNNNNNNNNNNNNNNNNNNNNNNNNNNNNNNNNNNNNNNNNNNNNNNNNNNNNNNNNNNNNNNNNNNNNNNNNNNNNNNNNNNNNNNNNNNNNNNNNNNNNNNNNNNNNNNNNNNNNNNNNNNNNNNNNNNNNNNNNNNNNNNNNNNNNNNNNNNNNNNNNNNNNNNNNNNNNNNNNNNNNNNNNNNNNNNNNNNNNNNNNNNNNNNNNNNNNNNNNNNNNNNNNNNNNNNNNNNNNNNNNNNNNNNNNNNNNNNNNNNNNNNNNNNNNNNNNNNNNNNNNNNNNNNNNNNNNNNNNNNNNNNNNNNNNNNNNNNNNNNNNNNNNNNNNNNNNNNNNNNNNNNNNNNNNNNNNNNNNNNNNNNNNNNNNNNNNNNNNNNNNNNNNNNNNNNNNNNNNNNNNNNNNNNNNNNNNNNNNNNNNNNNNNNNNNNNNNNNNNNNNNNNNNNNNNNNNNNNNNNNNNNNNNNNNNNNNNNNNNNNNNNNNNNNNNNNNNNNNNNNNNNNNNNNNNNNNNNNNNNNNNNNNNNNNNNNNNNNNNNNNNNNNNNNNNNNNNNNNNNNNNNNNNNNNNNNNNNNNNNNNNNNNNNNNNNNNNNNNNNNNNNNNNNNNNNNNNNNNNNNNNNNNNNNNNNNNNNNNNNNNNNNNNNNNNNNNNNNNNNNNNNNNNNNNNNNNNNNNNNNNNNNNNNNNNNNNNNNNNNNNNNNNNNNNNNNNNNNNNNNNNNNNNNNNNNNNNNNNNNNNNNNNNNNNNNNNNNNNNNNNNNNNNNNNNNNNNNNNNNNNNNNNNNNNNNNNNNNNNNNNNNNNNNNNNNNNNNNNNNNNNNNNNNNNNNNNNNNNNNNNNNNNNNNNNNNNNNNNNNNNNNNNNNNNNNNNNNNNNNNNNNNNNNNNNNNNNNNNNNNNNNNNNNNNNNNNNNNNNNNNNNNNNNNNNNNNNNNNNNNNNNNNNNNNNNNNNNNNNNNNNNNNNNNNNNNNNNNNNNNNNNNNNNNNNNNNNNNNNNNNNNNNNNNNNNNNNNNNNNNNNNNNNNNNNNNNNNNNNNNNNNNNNNNNNNNNNNNNNNNNNNNNNNNNNNNNNNNNNNNNNNNNNNNCAACGCCACUCGUACUCUCUGUACUGGAACUCAGCAAGGGUAGCAGAACGUGCGUUCCCCGUGCGUAGUCCAAUGGGUCCGCAACUCGUUCUUCCACUCCUUGUACCUACAGAUACAACAAAAAUAUUAGAAAUAUUAUUAAUAUGACAUACAGUUUUGUUUAUUCAUUAAUUUCCCAACGUACCUUCCUCCAUGCACAAAGUCCGCCCAGCUGCUCUUCAAGGGCUCGGGAACCUCAAACCACGCCUGCAUUUAACCGUUUAUUAGUUUAGUUUUUCCAGAAAUCUACAAUGUAAUACAUAAUAUUAUUCAGGCAUUUUAUAAACUGACCGACAUCGCGUUGUGGACCAUGUCCUUAACCUCCUGCGGGACCUCGCCCCACUCUGACCACAACAUAGGGACUCUAUCCCUAAUGAGCGCUCCCACGCGGCCGGAGUACGUCCUCGACUUCCCGCCCGAUACUACGUCGCCAUCCCCGUCAGUACUGAUGACAAUCCUCCCUGAGGUACCGACAAUCUUCUCGAGAGCCUUCCCUGUGACUCUCUUCUUUUUUGCCGGCUUCGCUCCGACGGUGCCUAUCACAUGAUAACCAAAUUGAUUAUUAAAAUCGGAGAAUUAUAAGAAAACACAUCAUUCAUCUUUCAUUACCUGAGGGCGAGGAGGCGGACGCGACGGAUUCCGCCUCCGAUGAUGAUACUCUCGCCGAAAUAAGAGGCGUAUCAAAAGGCACGAACCGGUACGCCGCUGAUGGAGCCACUGGCGGGGGCAGUGGAUAAAUCGGCGUCCCUGAGUCAUCGACUACAGGUAUGGCCGGUAUCAUCCGCGGAAGGAAUAGGUGAGGCGGCGGCAUCUGUACCCCAGAUGACCCACUAUCCGAAGAAGUAGGAGCUGGAGUGGGCGCCCGGUGUAUCUCAGGCAUACGGGGUACAGACACCUCCGUCUGAGGCUGAGCAAAUAACUGCCUCGAGGAAUGAGGGAAGCCCCGCUGCCUCGAUGAAGGGGGCACCUCCGGCUGCCUCUGCGCCGUCUGCAGAAGGCUCGCAUGUCUAGCUGUCAUGAGGACCCUGAAACGACGUCUGAGGGUUGCUAGAGGUUCCCUCAGACGAUACGGACCUUUGGCCCUUCGAACCCUUCGUCGAUCUAAUAUUACCGCUCAUCCUAUUUAAAAUAUUAAUUUGAAUCAAGGCCACAAAAUCAAAAAAUGCAAACUCAUUUAAAAAAUGUAAAAAAUAUAUACACUUCCUAAAUACUAAUUUUCACUUUCUAAAUUUUACACAUAUACACUUUCUAAAUUUUUGGUCAGCCUGCUUUUACUUUAAUUGACCCCGGAGCCACGCAUUCAUUCAUGUCUAGUCAAUUCGCCCUCCAUGCACAUGUGCCAUCAUCGUCUCUUUCAGGCGAGUGGCAUGUGUCCCUACCCUCCGGUGAGGUGAUGAGAAUAAAUUGGGUAUUUAGUGGCUGUGAAGUUAUAGUGGAAGGAGUUAAUUUCGAGGCUAAUUUAAUUCCUUUAGAUAUAGUGGAGUUUGAUGUGAUCUUGGGAAUGGACUUUUUGGAAGCAUAUAGAGCUAUGGUAGAUUGUUUUCAAAAAGUAGUGGUGCUUCGAAGUCCAGAUGGUUUUGAGGUUGCUUUCCAAGGNN